rnacentral:lncRNA from 1 species
CUGCUAUAUAUAUAUAUAUAUAUAUAUAUAUAUAUAUAUAUAUAUAUAUAUAUAUAUAUAUAUAUAUUAAAAAUAAGAUCACUCAUCACUCGAUUUCAUGCAUGUUUUGUCAGUGGAUCUUCUGGGUUGGACCUUUCAUUGGUGCUGCCAUUGCUGCAUUCUACCACCAGUAUAUUCUGAGAGCAGCAGCAAUUAAGGCUCUUGGAUCCUUCAGGAGCAAUGCUUAAUUAAUUAUGUUUCAACAAUUACAAUGGAGGACGUACAUGCUUAAUACUACUGCAGCAAGCUUAAUUGCUCUGUCGUCGUCUAUGAAUUAAUUAAGGAGGAUAUCUAUAUGUUAAAAUAUGGAGAUCAGACAGGCAAUUAAGGACGGACAUAAAUGGAGUUAAUUGUAGAUAUAAUAAUAAUCAAGAUUUGUUGUAAUUUCUAUCUGUGUUGUAUUUACUUUCUCUCCCAACUGUUGAUCAUCUUAAUUUCAUUUUUUAAAAUUAUCUCCUUUUCUUUUUUAAUUAAAUAUUACUCAAUGUACUCAGAGAUCGAUGUUUGUUCAUAAUAAAUCAAGGAAAUGGUUUGUGUUCCUUAUAUAUAUAAAUGCCCAAAUCCCACCCAACAAAUUGCCACCUUUUCUUUUUAAGUAAACAAUUAUAUAUAAUUAACAAAUACAGUGUAAUAUAAUUCAGUGCAUUUAGCAAUUUUGGUAAUUGUGUAGAAACUCUUAUUCUUUAAUUUUCUCACAUGCACAUCAGGUGUUGUCUUCCAGUUCCAGUUCCAGAGCCUUCUGUGUACAAGUCAAUGUGUGUGUCGAUCAUUUUCUUUGAAUAGAAACUAAUUAAUGUAUAUGCUUCUAAACCUAUGCGUAGCAUUCUUAUCUUCAAUAUAUUAAAAUUUACAUAAAUUUAUUUAAUUAAUUUAUAUCAUUACAAUUAUGAAUAUCAUAAAUUAUCUAAAAUGUACUACAAAUUAUAAAUUUAUUAUUUUAAAAUUUAAAUGAAUUAUAUAUGUAUGCCAAUUUUAUAUAUUUAAAAAAAUCUCAAAUUAACUUUUAAAAAAUAAUUUUAAUUUUUUAAUUUGGAUUAGACGGAGUAUAUAGUAUAGCUAAUAAUGUGAUAAAUAUAAUAUAUAUAUAUAUAUAUAUAUAUAUAUAUAAAUAAAUCAAUUUAAUCUUUAUAUUAUUUGAGUUACAAGUGGUCCAUAUCAAAAAGCAAGGGAAACAUGUUGGGUCAAUAGAUUGGGAUGUUUUUUUGUUUUUUGGUGCUUAUUUUUUUUUUAUAUAGUAAAAGUGAGUUAAUCAACCUUAUCUUCAUCUUAGUUUAUGACUUUAAUUUCACAAUUUUAAUAUUGAGUUGGUGAUGUUUUAGCUGUUCAUGAUGCACUUUAGACCUUAAUUUAUGGGAGAAGGUGGGUUUACUUUUGAACUUAUUUGUUAAUUAUAUAUAUAUAUAUAUAUAUAUAUAUAUAUAUAUAUAUAUACAGAAUCGAUCAGGUCAGGACUCCCUUACUUUGUUAAAAUGCAGACCUUUUUUUUUAUUUUUUGCUUUUUUUUUUAAAAAAAAACAACUAAAUUUUUUUUUUUAAUAUUUUAUGGAACUGGAAUUUUUUCAUAAUACAAUAUUUUGGGCGUGAUUUGGAUACUUAUAUCAAAAAAUAUAUGUACAAUCUGCACAGACUGUACAGACCUGUUUUGUUAUACGUAUCCAAAUCAUUUCCAAAACACUGUAUUAUGAAAAAAUUUCAGUUCCAUAAAAUAUUAAACUUUUUUUUAUAGUUGUUUAUAAAAAAAAAACCAAAAAAAACCACAAAAAAAAAUCCGCAUUUUAACAAAGUAAAGACUUCUUUACAGGAACCGAACCCUAUAUAUAUAUAUAUAUAUAUAUAUAUAUAUAUAUAUAUAUAUAUAUAUAUUAUGAUAGUCGAUUUCUUCUGUGGUUAUAAUAUGCAUGUAUUUAAUUUGAAAUGUGUCAAAUGUACAUUAAUAUAUAAUAAUUUUUUAAACUAUCUUAAACUAAAGAAAAUUAUAAGCUGUAAAUAUAUUUAUGGUUAUAAUGUUGAUAUAUGAGUACAUAUUAAAAUUCGUGUCAAAAAUACAAAUGCUUAAUAAAAUGAAAAUAUUUUUUAAAAUAGAAGUAGCAUUAAAAUUAUGAGAAAACAAAAAUAUAAUACCAAAACGUGCAAGUUUUGGGUGAUUAAUUGAUUAUAAUGAGCAUCAUAAUUUGUUUUCUACUGUCUCAAAAUAAUAGUAAUGGGCAUCAGAAUAAUCUGAUCGAGACAUGCAUGGUUUUUUAUUCAUUUACUAAUAUAAUUCCAAUAGUAUGCGACAAUAUAUAUGGUCGGUAUUAUUUUGCUUUACUUAACUCAUAAAAAUACAAUAUUGAAUGAAACCAAUAUUUCUUUUUUAUUUUAAUUAUUAUGUUAAGAUCAUUAAUUUUUAUAAUUAAAACAUUUGUGGUUUGUGGCAAAUCUUCAUAUAGAAGUCCCCCUUCAGUUAAUCCAUUUGAAAUUAUCUUUCAUGUAUAUAAUUAAUUAAUUAUCUCUGUUUAAAAUUUUCUUAUGUAAGCAGAUAAUAAUUAAUCAGGUUUCAUUUAGCUUUUAUUUAUAAAAAACAUUGUGUGUUAUUAAAGUGGUAUUUACUAUUAUGUGAUGUUAAAUUAAAUUGUAUAAAAUUUAGUUGUUUCAAUUGAUUUUGAAAUUAAAAUCGCGUCAAAUGAAAUCCCACCGCAUAUAACCAGGAUAUAUUUAUAGUGUCUUAUUUAAAAGAUUUAUGAAAACUUUAAAACAAUAUACAGAUUAAUAAUUUUUUAUUUAUAACAACUGAGUUGAAGUUUCACAAUCUAAAUAAAAAAUGGGAAAAUAUAUUAGAAAGAAAGUUGUUCGCUAAUAAAACAGACACACACUAUAAAGAGUAGUAACAGGGCAUCUAGAAGUCGUCUUUCUUUCUCUAAAAUAGCGGUCGUUGAAUUUGUUGAUAGACGAUUAUAGUCUAUAGAUAGAUACAUUAACUUGGGGAUAAACGAGUCGAAUCUCAGCGAACACUUUCAUGUUCAAAUUCGGUUCGACUCAAAAAAAUUAAGUUCGGAUUCGAUAAAAAAUUUAUAUUUUUGCGCCAGAUUCGACUCGGAUCAUUACUCGGACCUACUCGGCUCGUAAGUACUCGACUCGUUUACAAAGCGAGUUACUCAUGAGGCUUCAAAUCGAGUUUCGAAUAUGAACCAUUUCAUUUAAUACUGAACCACUACAUACUAAAUUGGUUACUUAACUAAUAUUUAUAUAUAAAAUUUUUUCACUUUUAUUUAUGUAUUGAAAUUAUAAAUAAUGUAAUAAAAAUUGAUAUUCAAUUCAUUGAUUUAUUCAAGUACAAGUUUACACAAUUUCACACUACACUUUAUAAAUUAUAAAAAUUGAUACAAAUAUCACAUAUUUUGCUUAUUAGCAAUAUUCGAAUAUGAUCCAUCGAGCAGGUAUCGAGUAUGGUUCGAGAAAAAAUGAAAUACUCGAACCCUAAUAUGAGCGAACACUGGUAGGCUCGAAUUCGACUCGUGUAUCAUUAAACAGAAAACGAGUAUGGAUCAGAUUCGACUUGGAUCAACUUCGAAUUCGAGCUUUGGAUCAUAUUUUCGAGCCGAUCUUGAGUCGAGUAUCGAACUACUUGGUUCAACUUACAUUAACCGAUCAUAAACAACUCUUACUUUAUUACAAUUAUUUUCAUUCUCUCCUUUAUAUUAAGAGGAAAUUGAUAAAUUCAUGAUAAUAAAUAAUAUUUUUAUAAUAAAAUCGUCGCUAUAGAUCUUAUAGCGAUAAUUUUUACCGUUUAGUUCGAUUUGGGCUUUAGCCUUCACGGCUAGGCCAUUUUUUUUUGGAACAAUUACAUUUUAUAGUACAUUUAAAAAUAUAAUUACAAGAAAAGUGCCCUCAUUAAAUAUUUACAUAAUUAAUAUCUUUAAAAUUUUAUUUUCAUUAUUAGUACAUAUUUAUGAUUCCUUUAAUUAUGGGAUGUGUUUUAAUUCUCAAUCAUCUUUCCCACAAUUUUCUCCCCAUCUCUCUCACGAUUUUCUCCCACUCCAUUUAUGUUUCCCUUCUUCUUCUUCUCCUCCCUCCCUCCCUCCGCCUCCUCCUCCUCCUCCUGUCCAACCCCUCCCCACUACAUUGGUUAUCCUUGAUUUUAGGUUUCUUUAUUAAUGUGAAUUGUACUAUUUUUGUAAUAUGAGUCUUAAUUAUACUUUUUUUAUAAUUAUUUAAUUGAUGCACUUUUCUUAUAAUUAUUUUCUAUUUGUUGUAUACUUAUGUAAAGGACCCUUUUUUUUUUGUCGUAGCCUACUGACUGAACUGAGCUAGUGUACCAAGCCUUAACUUUUAGUUUGGGAGAGGGUAGGUCAGUCCAUUACUGUUAUAAUAUAAAUGGUAAAAUUUGGAAUGCCUUGUCAAAUGAAAAAAUUUAUGUUCUUUCAUAAAAAAUUGUGUGACUUGGGAGGUGGAAGGAAUCACGAAAGCUUUAAAGGCCCAUUAAAUAAAUUCAUGCUUCUUGUGCAAAUAUUCACACACAAACGCACAUAGAGGAGAGAGAGAGGUGUCACAAGCAGCAUGGUGGGAACUAAGAGAAUGAUUUUAAUUAUUAUAUAUAUAUAUAUAUAUAUAUAUAUAUAUAUAUAUAUAUAUAUAUAUANNNNNNNNNNNNNNNNNNNNNNNNNNNNNNNNNNNNNNNNNNNNNNNNNNNNNNNNNNNNNNNNNNNNNNNNNNNNNNNNNNNNNNNNNNNNNNNNNNNNNNNNNNNNNNNNNNNNNNNNNNNNNNNNNNNNNNNNNNNNNNNNNNNNNNNNNNNNNNNNNNNNNNNNNNNNNNNNNNNNNNNNNNNNNNNNNNNNNNNNNNNNNNNNNNNNNNNNNNNNNNNNNNNNNNNNNNNNNNNNNNNNNNNNNNNNNNNNNNNNNNNNNNNNNNNNNNNNNNNNNNNNNNNNNNNNNNNNNNNNNNNNNNNNNNNNNNNNNNNNNNNNNNNNNNNNNNNNNNNNNNNNNNNNNNNNNNNNNNNNNNNNNNNNNNNNNNNNNNNNNNNNNNNNNNNNNNNNNNNNNNNNNNNNNNNNNNNNAAAAAUACUUUUUUUUUGUAAAGAGAAACAUUUAUAUAUAUAUAUAUAUAUAUAUAUAUAUAUAUAUUGUAGUACUAGUAUGUAUGUAUUAAAAUAUUUGGGGGUGUGGCAGAGGAGUGCAUUGAUUUCAGCACGCGGUUCGGUUGGGCCUUGGCAAUAAUACUUUGUGGGCAAGUGAAAAAGAGUAGCCAAUAAAAGCAUUAUUACACCCAUCACAUGAAUUAUAAGUGUAUUCAUUCUUCUUCUAAUCUGCCCCUUUGCUGCCCCUUUAAGCUAAGCAACACCCCAAUAAAACUUGCUUUUCCCCCAAUGAGAAAAAAAAGCAUAAUUAACAAUCAUAACUUUCAUCAAUGUAAAAUUAUGCUUAUAUACAUACACACACAUAUAAAUGAGUGAGUGAUUAACUAAUGUAAUUACACUUACUAUAGAACAUGAGAUAUAUAUAUAUAUAUAUAUAUAUAUAUAUAUAUAUAUAUAUAUAUAUUAUUUGAAAUGAGCUUAGCCAUUGAAAAAACUACUUCAUGACUAUUCAAUCAUCUGAUUAUCUAUUGGGUGAUAAUCUGAAUAAUGAAAUAAAUAUAUAUUUGAUAGAGCUUAAACUUUGUUUUAAGUAUAAUCAUCAAUGCUAACAAGACAAUUAUAUAUGCAAAAACAUCAUAUACAUAUAUAAAUAUAUAUACACACACAUUUUUAUCUUUAAUAACCAAUUAAAUUAACAUAUUUAUUUUAUUCCCUACUCUUAUCUAUUUGACAAGCCACUCAAGUAAGAAGCAAAUUUAGAGAACCAUCUCAUUAUUCCAUUGCUUUUCCAAUUAAAUUACAAAAAUACCCUUGUAACAUUAUCUAAUUUCCUUCAAGUCCCUCAGUUCCAAACUGAAAAUUUUUACAAGUAAAGAAACCCUGAUAAUUAAUUCCUUCAAGUAAGCACGAAGCAAACAUUAAAAAAUUAANNNNNNNNNNNNNNNNNNNNNNNNNNNNNNNNNNNNNNNNNNNNNNNNNNNNNNNNNNNNNNNNNNNNNNNNNNNNNNNNNNNNNNNNNNNNNNNNNNNNNNNNNNNNNNNNNNNNNNNNNNNNNNNNNNNNNNNNNNNNNNNNNNNNNNNNNNNNNNNNNNNNNNNNNNNNNNNNNNNNNNNNNNNNNNNNNNNNNNNNNNNNNNNNNNNNNNNNNNNNNNNNNNNNNNNNNNNNNNNNNNNNNNNNNNNNNNNNNNNNNNNNNNNNNNNNNNNNNNNNNNNNNNNNNNNNNNNNNNNNNNNNNNNNNNNNNNNNNNNNNNNNNNNNNNNNNNNNNNNNNNNNNNNNNNNNNNNNNNNNNNNNNNNNNNNNNNNNNNNNNNNNNNNNNNNNNNNNNNNNNNNNNNNNNNNNNNNNNNNNNNNNNNNNNNNNNNNNNNNNNNNNNNNNNNNNNNNNNNNNNNNNNNNNNNNNNNNNNNNNNNNNNNNNNNNNNNNNNNNNAGACCAAAAAUGGGGAGGAAAAGGGUGGGGGGUGGGGGGAUUCCAUGUAGGACUACUGCCACAUAUUGAGAAUAUUACUAGUCAUUAUUUCCUAAUUCUAGGUUGACCAUUUGAGGAUAAUUUGGGGAAAACAAUUUCAAUUUUCUUUUUUCCUUUUUCCUUUUUUAAGGAAUGUCAUAGAUGAUAGAACAUAAUUCCAUCAUUUGGUUCCCUCUAAACAGGAACCUGCCAUCACAAAAAUUCAGGUCCAAGCAACAACCAGACCACUUCCAAAGUGUCUAUAAAACCCAGUUCACACAUCCCAAAUGAUUCAAUCCAAAACAGCAUCACUACUUCCUUGUAUUAUCAGACUAACAAAAACAAACAACAUAGCCCUCAUGCAUCCUCUUCUUCUCUGUGCUAUCUUUUCCUUGCUCUCCAUUACUACAUCUCAAGACCGAUCUCCCCACGGACUCGCUCAUGAAAAUCCAAUGGCGUUCUCACCAUCGGCAUUCGAGUUUUUCCAUCCAGACAAUCGUCAGCCGAGUAAAGUAAACCCCUGUGCUGCAUCAGGUUGCUCGCCAUUGCCUAUAGCAGCAACAGUGCAGUCAAGUCUGGCAUAUGCAAGCAGAUCAACACAAAAUAGGGGUGGCAGUGGAAUAAGAGCUGGUGGCAUUGCUGGUAUAAUUUUUGGCUUUGUAUUUGUCGUGUUUUUGGCAAUGGGUGUUUACUAUGUUGUAAUCAAGCGUGUCGCCAAUAUGAGCAAAAAUAAUUCUGCUCAAGCUGAAGCUUGAUACACUACCAGUAGUCUCACUCGCCAUCCAAAAAAGACAACGCGUGCUUCUUUCAAUAUUGAUAGGAGAUGUAUUUAUGAUUGUUAUUAGCAAUAGAGGGUGACACGAGCUAUAUUCAUAUUCACCAGUCCACUGUACUAUUUCCCCUCCUAGGUAAUUAAAAUUUAAAUUAUUUUUCUAAAUUAGCAGUUAUUUCCUGAUACUUGUCUUUUACUUUUGAACUUCUAAAGUUAUCUGUUGAUUUUAAACCCACAAUCAUACCAGAUUGUAAUCAGAUGACACUAACAUGCCUAUUAAGAGAUUAAGGAGAUCUAAAAGAAAUAUGCACCAUAAACUUCACCAAAAUAAUGAAUUAACUCACCUCCUUUUCAGUGAAUGAGGUUAGUAUGAAAAUCUGCCAAAUGAACACACCAAAAAGUAAACCAAGAGAAGGAAAUAGGACACAUAUGAAUGUCGAAUUAGUAUCAAUUAUCAAACAAUCAUUACCAUAUUACAUAAAAUAAACAGUACUGAAGAUAAACUAAUAGUCUAUCAAUCAAACGUAGUAAUAGGUUAGUAAUGGUUCUCAUUAGUAGAAUCAGCCUCUAAGAUGAUCAAACUAUCUACUACUGUGCACAACUUUUGACUAGCAUACAUUCAUUGUUAUAAAAUGAACAAAACUCAAACUAGCAGUAAUCAAUGACUGAGUUCACGAUAGAUUCAUGGAAGGAAAAAGAAAUAGAGCGUACAUGGUAUAAAUUAAACGCAGAAACUUAAUAAUCGUGGCUUUAUGCUUCCUUCUAAUAUAUUAAAACCAAAAAUAAAUGCUCACUAUUUUCUUAUGAUUAUCUAAAAACAAUUCACUUGGAGAAAGGUGAUGAGAGCGUGUUGAAAAUGGUGCCAAAUUAAUAAGAAUCACUAGAACCCAAUUCUUAAAUAAUUCAAGCAAGAGGCUGCAAGUAUGACUAAAUAGGCAAUUAGCACAGACUUGCAAUAUAAUUAGAUCCAGCUGAUUCAGACAAACUGCUACCAAAUCGAGCCUCUUCGCACUAAUAUCAAGUUAGAGAGCAUGAAGCUAAUUUUAGGAUGGCCAUCAGUAAAGCUUUGCUCGGCACAAUGAUCUACUUAACUUCAAAUAAGAUAGACAUCUUUUAACUAAUCUUCUAACACAUAUUGAUUGUGGUUGAUUCCAGUCAACGAAGGUUACAAAACAUAUGCCAUUUUCUGGGAAUGAACAAAUUAUAUGUAUUCACAAUAUGAACACAAUGACAAGAAGUCAUGCCCAUCAAAUGGACAAAGAAUAGAUUGGCAGAACACAGCCACUUUUACAAUUUAGAUGUUGUAUAUUAAAGACAGCUUCAAGAGAGGAUUCACUGAAAUAGGUUUCAAUUGAACAUUACAACAGCUAAAUUUUUUUGAAGAGAUGUUACUUGUCAUGAAGACAAAGCUCCAGCACUCGCCUUGCCCCUUUUGUAACUCAGAAGAGGAAAGAUCGGGUGAGCCAUAUUAUAAAUUGCACAAAAAGUAAAGCAAAAAUUCAUACAUUAGUAGAAAAAUAGUCCAAUAUCUCUACUUUCCACGUGAGCUAAAAGACUCAAUUACAUGUCCGAAAGUCUGAUCCACAGCUUUGUUCCAUAGGUGGGAAAAUUCCAGACGAGAUUUCUUCCCAAAAAUAGGCUCCCUUAUCUGAUAAGUUGAAAGAAUAAAGUUUAAAAUUUGAAGAGGUAAGACCAUGGAUUCAAUAUUUUUUUAUCUAUUUCAUGAACUUAAUGAAUAUGGAAAUUGCAAAUGCAUAAAUUCUGAGUUACUCAACACAUGAACUAAUAACUCGUCCUUCUACUGUAAUGCGUAAAACCUUGAUAUGAAAAUAAUGGAGGCAAGAUUAUUUAGGAAACCACAUAUACAAAACACACAACACAGCAGUUCCACUAAACAUAGUCAAAAAUCAGCAUGAUGUCCUUAACAAAUCAAUGUCAAAUCCAUGAAAAUGGUCUACAAGUAUUGCACUUUAACAAAUAUAUCACUCGUUUGAUACACGAGACAUGGAAUUAAAUGAGCUAAAGACACAAUGCGAGGCUCCCAUUAGCUGUUCAAAAUAGCAGACAGUAGUGUAUACAAUAUGUACAUAUAGAUCGUGUAUUAAUCGAAUCAAAGGAAAUCAUAGGCAUACACCAGUGGCUUUGACAAAGCUUUUGGCAAUGCCAUUAAGGUGGGUGACCCAAAUCAACUGGAAGAAGAAAAAAGUUACACGCAAAUAGGAAAUGCGGAAUUUGAGAAGCAAAAUCCAGAUAUUACUAUCAACUUAGUGGUUUGGAGGUUAUUGCAUUCUUUCAACAAUGGUGGUUCCAAACAGAACUUGUGGAAUCCACAUUCACAAGGUGUUGAAUACACAUUCACAAGGCAUUGAAUCUCCUUCAUUAUUGACUGCCACAUCCUCACCAUCAAUCUCUCCUUCAGAAUCAAAUAAAGCUUCUAUUCCUACCAAAUAACAUUUCUUUUGUUCAUACCAAAUAAUAUAGACAUAGAUCCCUCAAGAACCAACAAAUGAAAAUUUCCUGUAACUUUGACUUUGGUGUAUACUUUUGCUUCUAACUGUUAGUUGUGUGCAUGUGCGUGUAUGCGAAACACAACAAAGCAAACGUACCGAUUAUUCCCUAAAUUUGCAUGAGAAUCCAAUAUAUUGCUCACUAAACAGUGUUUAAGACAGAAUGUAUAUGUAUGGUAGGGAAAGAAUAAUAAAUUGGAUUAAGGAUCUUACAGAUAUGGUUAUAGUAAAGACUGGGUGAUGAAACGCUGGGAAAGAAAGUGUGCUCUGAUGUUUAUAGAAUGCUAACAGCAAUGGUAUAGGGAAAAAAUGCAGUGCUUUUCCAGAAGAUGACAACAAAUGAUGAUGUGGUAUCACAGUUACAAAAUAGCCCUAUUAGUAGUGCUGAGUGCUGACAAUGGCCAAGUAUGUUCUGCACCCUCAACGAAUUCUGUUUGGUAUACAAAAGUUUAGAAAAAAACUGAAAAUCAGGAGGAACUUUUUUCAAUCUAGAAACAGACACAUGUACUCAACAUCCCUUACCUAUUACCUAAUGCAACACGCAAGGGAGGAUAAAAUUUAAAUUGAAGGCCGUGUCCCAUACCUACCAAUCAGAGUUUUUUUAAUACAAAUUUAAGCAACAAAACACUCUCAUUAACAAUAAAAUUUUCAUUGUUGUCAAAGAAAAUACUCCUUCCGUUCCACGAAAAUCCCAUUUCACUUUCAUCCUAGCUAAUUUGUAAAAUCCUAAAUUUAAACUGCAGUGUAAAUAAUUUUAGAAAUUAUUUUUGAAUUUUAAGAUUUCCCAAAUUAAAAGGAACUUUUAUAACAUAAGAACUAAGCAGCUAAAUAUUCUCUCAGAUUUGGGCGAAAUGGGGCAUAAAGCCACACAUUUGGUAUUUCAGACAAAUUAUUGAUAUAUAUAUAUAUAUAUAGAGAGAGAGAGAGAGUCCCGAUCCUGUCCGGACUCCCGGACAGGACUAAAAUGCGGACCCCAAAAUUUAUUUAUUUUUGCUUUUUUUUAAAUACAACUAAAAAAAAAUAUUUAAUAUUUUAUGGAAUUGAAAUUUUUUCAUAAUACAGUAUUUUGGACGUGAUUUGGGUACGUAUAACAAAACAUGUAUGUUCAGUCUGUGCAGACUGUACCACCAUUUUUUGGUAUAGGUAUUCAAAUCACCCCAAAACAUUGUAUUAUGAAAAAAUUUCAGUUCCAUAAAAUAUUAAAUAUUUUUUUUUNNNNNNNNNNNNNNNNNNNNNNNNNNNNNNNNNNNNNNNNNNNNNNNNNNNNNNNNNNNNNNNNNNNNNNNNNNNNNNNNNNNNNNNNNNNNNNNNNNNNNNNNNNNNNNNNNNNNNNNNNNNNNNNNNNNNNNNNNNNNNNNNNNNNNNNNNNNNNNNNNNNNNNNNNNNNNNNNNNNNNNNNNNNNNNNNNNNNNNNNNNNNNNNNNNNNNNNNNNNNNNNNNNNNNNNNNNNNNNNNNNNNNNNNNNNNNNNNNNNNNNNNNNNNNNNNNNNNNNNNNNNNNNNNNNNNNNNNNNNNNNNNNNNNNNNNNNNNNNNNNNNNNNNNNNNNNNNNNNNNNNNNNNNNNNNNNNNNNNNNNNNNNNNNNNNNNNNNUUUUUUAAAGACUUUUUUUAAGCGAAAUUUGUGAGUUUUAAUGACUUUUAAACGAAUUUUUUAAAAAUAAUUUUUAUAAACUCUAUAAAAUAAGUAACAACAUUUUUAUAAAUUUUUUUAUCAAGAUUGUGAUAAAUUUUUGUAUAUUUUUAAUAUAUAAAAUUGAAAAAUUAUUAUAUUUAAGAUUAAAAUUUUGCUACACAGUUAAAUUAUUUAUUAUAUUUUUAGUACAUAUAUUAUAAAUAAUAAUUCCUUGCUUAUGAUAACAACUUUCAGAAAAUAUAUUAUACAAAAUUUUCAAGUUAUGACAAUAUUAUUUUAUCUAAACAUUAUAAUACUAUAUAUAUAUUAUAAUAUAUUUAUUAUAUGACUUCUGAUUAUUUAAUUAUUGGCUCCAUAAUUUUAUUAUUUUUCAUUCUUGUGUGUGAGCGUGUAAUUCAAUACAAGUGAUUAUAAUCAACCAAAAUUAUACAUAUUAUUUUGUAUAUUUUUUAUAUAACAAUUGUUUGACCUGUUUUUUUAUAAUAAUUAUUUAGUAUUAUUAAAAUUUGAGACUCACGGACUCACCCAAAUUAAAAAUCCAUUGUUUGUGUUUUUUAGUCAACCCCGUUUCAGAUCUGAUCCUCUUCGUCUCUGCUGUCGAGGCACGUUCUCUCUUUCUAUCUACACACAAACACAGACACAACCAGAACCACAAACACAAACGUUACCUUCCAAAUUGCAAGUAGCAACCGCCCUGACUCCCAUUUUUCAAAAAUAUUCUCUUUUCUCCACUUAAAUUUUCAGAUCACUUCAACAAUGGCGAUGAUAUUUCAUAGACUCUCAUUCGCAAUCCUCUUAUUACUUCUCUUAGUCCAAUCCACUCUCUCCGCAGAUCCGCCCGAGUCCUCACCUACUCCGUUGCCGGAACCAAGCACUGCUCCCCUCUCUCAUCCACCUUCCAGUCCCUCGCCUUCGCCGGAACUCCAUUCUCCACCUGCGCCCCAGCCGUCCGCUCCAGGUUCGGCUCCUGCGCCGUCAAACUCCUCUUCUCCGGCUCCGGCUCCGGCUCCGGCUCCGGCUCCGGCUCCGGAUGUUGAGAGUGAUGUAAAUAACGAGAACGAGAGUUCUGAGAAUGGAGAUGGUAAGAAGUCGUCCGGUGGAAUGAGCGGCGGGCAGAAGGCCGGCAUUGCUUUCGGAGUUAUCGCCGGCGCAUGUGUAGUCAUAGUGGGAGGAGUAUUGUACAAAAAACGACAGGGUAAUAUCCAGCGAUCUCAGUACGGGUACGGCGCUAGGAGAGAAAUGCUCUAGAAGAUUCAUACAUAUAUUUUUAGAAAAAUUUAUCUCUACAUAGAUGAAUCUUUUGCUAUGAGAUAUACAGAUUCGUAACAUUGAGUUUGCGAAGUGGUGAUUUGUUAAAUUCUUUAUUACUAUAAUAAUUUAAUUUUUCCCCGAUCUUUUUAGAUUGAAUUGAUAGUGGUCGGUUGAUAUUAGUGGUAAUUGUCAUUAAAGUAAAACUGGAAAACAAAAGGUAAAAUAGCACUUGAGUUGGUGAUAAUUUUGUACUAACAUGUAUCAAAUUUUGAUAUAUUUCUGCGUUGAUAUACACACUGCACCAACUUGUCAUCGUUUUGGUUGUUAAUAUAACUAAAAUCUUACCCUCCUUUCAUUUGUUUGGAUUGGCUACAUCCAUUCACAUUUCUCCACUCCCUUUCAAUACACUAAUUUUUUAUGAAAAAUAAUUUUGUUAGUAAUACUCAAAAUAAGUUAAUAUAUAGUUGAUGGCAGUAAAAUUAAUUCUAUAAAAAAUUAGAAUCAUUAUGUUAAAAAGUAUAAAAAAAAUUCAAUCAAAUGGUGAAAAAAUAUUAGAUUACUUUUAUUAUUUUUAAAACAAUUAUGUUAUUUAAUAUAAUAAAUUAGUUGAUCAAUAUCGAUUUUAAUUAUAUUAUUCACAACUAUAAAAAUAUGGUGUAUUUGAUGUAUAAUGGAGGGGAUUCAAUCCCAUUUUUUGUUUAUAUAGUAAUUGUUUUUACAAUUUCGAAACUUAUGAUAUGAAUUAUAUGAAGACUUCACUUAUUACACAUUUUUUACAAAAAUUACUACUAAUAAUGUAACAUACAAUCAAAUAAUCAAUAUAAAACAUUUACAAUAUAUAUUAUAUCAUUGUUUGAAGCUUCAAUUAGAGUAGAUCUAAUCAUAUAAAUGCAAUAAUUUCAUAAUUUCCUUAAAAAUAUGUGUUUUACAAAUUUAUCUCUAAUUUUUUAAUGAAAGGACCUACCUAUUUAUUUCAUAUCUUCUUUGUGCCACAUGUUCUAACUUUUAGUUGUUGGAUGAAUUAAUUUUCCCGGUUUUAUGAUCCUAGCUUUUUUAAUUUGUUUAAAAGUUUCAUGGUGAGUUUUUCAACAAAUGGUUAAAGUUCCAACUCUUAUAUUAAAAAUAAAAAUAAAAAUAUGAGAUUAAAUAUGAAAUUAGGGCUAUAUUUAUUUGCAAAGAUUACACUUGCGAUAAGACUAUUAAUUUCAAGUGUCUUGUUUAUUUUUAAAUUUGAGCUUAAGACUAUUAGUCCUGAAAUUAUAAAAUAAUGUGAGAUUAUUUAAUACCAUGUUCUACAUGGUAUCAUAAUCCCUACCAUUUGGAAUUAAAAAUUACUUUACAAAAUUAACCUCAUCUUUUUCUAAAAUGACCAUAAUAUCCUGCAAUUUCUGUUAUUAUUACUCGCAACUUAAAACUUACUAGUACAAAGACAAAAUAUUUUUUUUGGGGAGGGGAGUGGGGUUGGGGGUGGGCAGGGUGAAAUGUAUAUAUAAUCACAGAAUAUUACUCCAUCCGUUUUUAAAAGAUUGUCGUUUAAGGUUUUGGCAUAUGGAUUAAGGAAGUGUCAUUUACCAAGUAAAAUUUGUUUGAAAUUCUAUCACUACCCCUUUAUGGGAAAUUGAAAACUAUUAAUACAAGGAAGAGAAUUUCUUGGGACAAUGAGAGAAGAUAGAGGUAAUAUAGAAAAAUAAAUAAUUUAUUCUCUUCGAAAGUUGUAAAUGACAAACUUUUUAGAAUAAAUUUUUUCUCCUAAAACGACAAUCUUUUAAGAAUGGAGGGAGUAUUUUUUUUUGGAAGGGUGGAGUGUGGGGAUGAGCGAGUGAAGGUUUAUACAUAAUCAGUAAAUAUUUUUUUUUUUUUUGGGACGGGCAAGGUGGAAAUGUAUAUAAUUAAAAAAAUAUUAUUAUUUUGGGAUCGGAGUCGGAAGAUGUAUAUAUAAUCAAUAAAUAUUUUUUUUGAUGUAUUAAUAAGUUUAAAAUAUGUUAUUAUUGAUAAAGAUAUAAUAGUCCAAAUUUAUAUGUUUUUAGUUAUAAAAAUAAUGGAAACCAAAGCCUAUUUGUCUGAUUGACUGAUAAUCUAGUAAUCUACAAACAAAAAGAGUGUGCUCUUUGAUGUGAGGAUCCGUCAACUAAAAAUAAUGGAAACCAAAGCCUAUUUGUCUGAUUGACUGAUAAUCUACACACAAAAAGAAUCUGCUCUUUGAUGUGAGGAUCCGUCAACCAGGAUCACAAUGAUUUUAUAUGUAAUCUAAUUGUAAGCAUUCAUCUCGCCUUACAUAUAGCAGGCUGCUAAAGGGAACAAGUUCCCACACCAGCAUUGAUCUAAGAAGCUAUGGGAAGAAGAAACCCCAGAUACAGACAAUAAAUAGUGCCUACUGCAGAACCCUACUCUUCUGCAGGAGGGUCGACCCAGCGGCCAUGAUCUUUUAUUAGCUGGAUUAAGGCACCAGUUGCUUGCUCCAUUGCGAUUGCUCGUUUUACCACCGUCUGAAAUACAACCAAUGAUCAUUAAGCCACUAAUUCAAUAAAGAAAUUGAUAAGCAAAUGAAUCAAUGAUCAAUUAUAUCUUGCUCCUCUAAUUCAAUUAAUUAAGCCACUUGUUUAUAACUCGGAAAGUUUAUGGAGAUAUAAAGUAAAUAAGAAACUAUAAAUGAUGAGAAAAGUUUCAACAAUCCAUGACACCUAGUUUUAGCAUUAUACUUGAUAUCAUGUAUAUUUUUCCAAAUAUGUACUUUGUAUUCAUUUUCAUUGAAAGAAUGUUUUAUAUUUUUUAUUUUACUGUUACUUUUCUUUUCUUUGUCCAUCCCUUCCCCUCACUUUUUCCAAAGUCCAAAGGAAAUGCAAAGCUCUACUUCAGAUGACAAGAGUUGUUCAUCUCCAAGAGAUGAAAUAACCUACUCCUACAUUCUAAGAAGGCUUCACAACAGAUGGAAUUCAACAGAUUUCUUCAUCCUUUGACGAAGAUUAAGGCAAAUUUGAGCACGAUUGUACGAUCUAAAGCUACAGAAUAAGGGGACAGGGAAAUUUCUGGGAAAAGCUGCUCCUAAAAGAACUUGGCAUGAUGGGUUGAGCACCACUGAAGUUUAAAUGCAUAAGCUAUUAGUGCAGUGUAAACCUAAUUCUACAUAAAUUGAUGAAAUAUAAUGACGGUGAUUGAUAUUAAAUCAACUCGAGCUAGAGAAAUAUCGAUUCCAGCAAUGAUAACGAGUUUUUCAAACAUCCUAAUUACAGAGCUAGUAGUUCUAGCUUCCAAUUUUUGUCCAAGUACAAGUGGGUAUGCAUAUGCAUGCAAGAAAGGAUUGGGCAAGAAUUUAUAACAUUAACCGAGAGACCAAACACUAAGCCAUGUCUCAUGUCAAAGAGAAGUAAAAGUUUUACCUUCCCGACGUAAAGGUCAAUCUUUCCUGGAGCACCACCAACAUACCCAAAAUCUGCAUCAGCCAUCUCCCCUGGUCCAUUUACAAUACAACCCAUGAUUGCAAUCUGCAACAAAAAAGAGGAAGAAGUGAGUGACACAAUACAUUUGUUUACUCAGAGUAGAAUUGGUUCUAAUCGAAAUUAUCUAAUCACGGAGGACAAAGAGGGAUGGUGAUUACUGAAACACCAGGCAAGUGCGAUGUCUUCUCUCUUAUUUCUGCACUUAUUUCUUGAAGGUCAAAUAAAGUCCUGCCGCAAGAUGGGCAUGAGACAUAUUCCUGCAAUAAGAAUGAGGAUAACUAUUAAGUAAAUCAGUAAUUGUUAUCAUCAAUUUCAGCUAUUUUGGUUCCAAAUUAAUCCAUACCGUCUUUGUAUUCCGCAUUCUGCAACCUUGUAGCAAAUUGAAAGAUGUAUUCCUAAGAAAAUCAAAAUCCUGGUCUGGGGCUUCUAAUAAGAUACCAUCUCCAAGACCAUCUACUAAAAGAGCUCCAGCAUUGGUACCAGCACCAAUGACUAAGUCAUCCCUAAAAGUAAUCAGAGAAAAUGUAAACACAAAAUGUCUCUGACUCUCAUAAUUAGUGUUGGUUAUGUGGUUACCUGUGAAUUCCUUUUGGAAAUUUUAUGUGAUGAAUUACAGGGAAGUUCAAAGAAUUUUCUGAAAGAUAUUCAAAUAGCCUGCCAUCAUUAAACCAUUCAGAGUAUCAGCACCUUCAAUAGUUGGGUUUUUUUUGGGGGGUGGGGGGAUUUCAAAAUGACAAUUGUCCAUAUACUACUGUCCAUUUAUGUUUCAAUGUGAUAAAGCUACAUCAAACCAAAUGCUUUAAUCAAAUUGAUGAGAAUUAAUGGCUAAUUUAGUUUAGUACUCUAAGUUGGAAUUUGGUUCCAUUUCUUAUUUCAAUAUAUUUGAGCUAGUAGAUCAGGAAAUACUCAUUUAAUCAAAAUGCUAUUUGGACAUGACACAUGUGGCAGCUAAACUAAUUCUUCAUUCCAAACCAAUCUGGGUUGUGCUUAAGAUAACUCGCACACUAUUGGAAGGUCAAGGAAGUGCAGUUAUUAAAUCUGGCAUAAGUUGAUAUUGUCUCAUUUGAUAGUACAUAUUUGCAUAUACAUGCAUGCAGUACCGGCCCUGGGCUAAAGCCCAAGGUGCCCGGGCUUUAGGCCCAAAAAAUUUUUAGGGCCCCCUUAAAUAUUCUCUUCCUUUUAUUACUUAAAUAGAAUACUUAAAUAUUAAAGCAAAUAAUCAAUCUGUAAUAUUCUACAUAUACAGAUUAUUGUAAUAUUCUACAUAUUUAAAGCAUAUAAUUUGUACAAACAAUUUAAUUAUUAUGUACCUGGGGGUUCAUCAUCAGAUUCAGUUUUUUGGGUUUUUUUAAUUGUUUGGGAGUAGUGUUAGACUCUUAAUAAAGGAGGCCCUAUUUGGUAAUUAUUUUUUUGACUUAGUGAUAAUGUGAUAUCUAAAUGAUGCUUUGGAAAUAUUGAAAUAGUCGGUUAUUAUAUUUGAUAUUCUUUCGUAUUGAUGCUCUUUUGUUCAGGGUUCUUCCUUUUUUUUGCCUGUCUUAAUAGCAAUUCGCUAAAGGCCCAUUUUUUUUGUUGUCCGCUUUAGGCCCUUCAAAACUCAGGGCCAGCCCUACAUGCAUGUGCUUGUGUUUGUCUGUGCAUGUAUGUUUACAUCUAUUUGUUUAUACAGGUCUGUAUGUGCAUGUGUGUGUAUAUAAAUAAAGUUUAUUUACAGCCUCAAUAAAGGUUUUAAUUGCUUAACUCCUUCAACUAAGGUCUAUGCACUAUGCAGUUGAAGAGUCAUUCAUGUUUAUACCUCCUGGCUGCCUGUACUCUGCCAAUUUUCUCUUCAGUAAAUGGUAGGUCAUGGAAAAGCAUGGUAGCAUCAAUGCUCUUUAGGAAUUCCAGCUCGUCCUGUGGUUCAUCACCACGUACGGACACUACCAAGCGUGUGCCUGUAAACAAGUUUUUAACAAAGUAGUUACAAGAGCAUUCUACAAUAAGAUUUGCAACCAAUUGAGGGUGCUGAAAGAAUUGUAACUAAAGACACACCUUCAGGUAAAAGCUUGUGAGCACCAGUUGAUAAUUCCUUGAGAGUAGCAAGGACAAUGGCAUUAGGCAAAGGCUUCGUCAGUUGCUCUGACAGAGGAGUUAUCACUCCCAUGCUUACAUCUAUCAACCUUUUGAGAGCUAGUUGCUGAUCAUGCACAAGGAAUAAUAUCAGUCAUUCCACACCUCAACUCAAUUGAAUUUAAACAACAAAUAACGGUUUAAACUUCAAGGCCGAGUUUAAAACAUUUAUCAUGACUAAAAGAAACUAAAAUAAGGAAUCCUCUCAUCAAAAGUAAAAAGAUCAAACAGGAAGUACAGUCCUUACAGCAUCUUUAUCAUCUACUGGUGGAAGCUCUCUUAAUAAGAUUGAGUCCACAGUUGCCAGGUCCUAAAUCAACAUCAGUCUGAUUAAUAACCAGUUAUGCAUACCAUAGAUGCAAAAAGUUCUUUGUGUAGACAUUUUGCAAUAAAAAGAAAGUAGAAGUAAACCUUAAAUGGCAUGCCAACAACGAGUUUCGCAGCUAGUGAUCUGUAGAGGAGUUCAGGUGUCUGACCAAAGGGAGAAGAAAAUUUUAAGAUAGAAGCUCAGACAGCAAAUAUGAAAAAAAAACAUGCAAGUUAGAAAAAAACAAGAAAAUUUCAUAUGGAAGUACUUAAUAAAAGAUUAUCAAAUAGGAUAAAAGAACUCCAAUUCUAAGUGCAACCUUCAACUGAUCCAAGGAAACGGACAUGAGAACAGAGCCAUCUCGGUGGAGGGCACCUCUAUAAUCUACCUCCUCGCCCUGUUAUAAAAUCAAGUGAAUAAUUAUAAGUUUCAGAAGCUAACUACUGUAACAAGUUGGUACAGGGUAUAAAUUUCCCUUAAUCUGACCUCCUGUUGUACUGGAAGUUGACCAGUUCUUCGUUGAAAAUCAAAAUAACGUCUGUGCUUUUCUUCAAAUGGUGCCUGAUUAAAUAAUUAGCAGAGUACUAUAUAAAAAUGUAGUUAAAAAGUUUAAAAUUUAGAGUGCUUAAGGAUAGAAGUGAAUGAAAAAUAUAGUAAAUCUUACCACGCCUUGCUGCAAAUUAGCAGCUCUCAUACCAAGGUUAGCUAGCCUACUGCAGGGGUCUAUUUCUUCCUCUGGAGGUUCUGUAAGGGAAACUCUGAUCGUAUCCCCCAAACCAUCCUGUAUAUAAAAAAUUGUAAAGAUUACAUGAUUGUGGUUUCCAGAAUCUACUAGAACAUAGUAAGGUUCAAAAUAAAUUUACCACAUGAUUUAUAUCAGAUAAAUUUCAUCCAAAUGGAUGUGGAAUUCACUAGAAUGACAAAACAUAUGAUUUCUUAAUGCUCAUAUUCCGAUCAAUAUAGAAUUUAUUAUAUAGAAAAGCACCUGAAGAAGUGUUCCAAUGCCAAUUGCAGACUUCAUCCGUCCAUCUUCUCCCUCACCAGCUUCAGUAACUCCCAAGUGUAAUGGAUAAUCCCACCCCUGAACAUACAUUUCUGCUACAAGUAGACGGUAUGCCUGGACCAUGACAACUGGGUUGCUUGCUUUCAUUGAGAAGACAAAAUUAUGGAAGUCCAGCUUCCUACAAAUUCUUGCAAACUCAAAGGCAGAUUCAACCUGUUUUAAAUCAAGAUGCGGACGAUACCGUUGAGUUCAGUACAAUGAUAAAAAAGAUAAGCAGGUAAUCUUCUAGCAGCUUAACAAAAGAUCUGUUUACCAUUCCCCUAGGAGAAUCUCCAUAGUAACUCAUUAUACGAUCUGAAAGGCUCCCAUGGUUUGUCCCAAUGCGCAUUGCCCUUCCAUAUUUCUUACAUUUCUCAACCAACGGAGUAAAAACCUGGUAUACCAGAAAGAGAAAAUAUAUGAGACAUGUAAACCACAUCUUAGGUGAAAGGCCCAUAUUUUCAUUUUAUCUUAUUUUGUAAAUGUGAAUAAUAGAGAAUAUAUAUGAGUAGAAUCAGAUUGAAUGGAAUAUGAGGCUGUUAGACAUAGGCAUGCAAAAUAACAUGGUAGGCGCCAGGACAACAUGAUUGUUUCUUCUCUUUCUUGUCUUCUUUCCUAGGUUAUAGGUAGUUAACUUCGACAUGCAGAUGACUGGUUGCUACUUGUUAGUUGAAAUGGUGGACGAUAUGGUAGAGUUCUCAGAGUAAUAUUAAAAUGAAUGGAUUGUCAGGCCCCUAGUCCUUUUUAUAAGAAUACACAACAUUAUGACAGUUUGAUAAAAUUAUAAGAAAGAUGAAAAUGAAGACAAUGUCUUUGUGCACCAUCAUUACGUGUGCACGAUGACCACCUCUUACCCUGGUCUCAGUGAUAGCAUAGCCUUUUAAGACUUGUUGUCAGAGUGUUCAUUUAAUUUAGAAGGAAAUGUGGAGCAAGGUAACAUGGGAGUUGUUUCAAACUGGAAUUACUUUCAGUUUAAAAAUGGCUUCUAUUAUGAAGUCCAAAUCUUGCUCCAGUUCUGUUUUUUUUUUUUGUGAUUGAUAGGAAAUCCUAGAAUAGAUGAAGUUUUUUCCUUAAUUCUUUCUUCCUUUCUUUAAAUGUAUGGAAUACCAAAAAGAGAUUCUAUCUGUACGAAAGUAUAGAUGACAUCAUCGGUUAUAGUUGUUAAUAGAGACACGACAAGUUGACUUCCCAUCUAUUUAUACCAUCCAUUUUCACUUCUUUACUUUUUCACUAUAUCCUUGUUUCUUUAUUACAUGCCAUUUUGUGGAAAGAGAAUCGCACUUUAUCAUCAGCACAAUUGUCAAAGGAUGAGUGGUCUGACCUGCUCAAUAUGCUCCAGUUCUUUUUGAUAGUCAUCCUCUGUGUACUCCAGUGUCUCAAACUGAGCCCGUCUAUCAGCUGACAGGAAAUGGAAUCCAAUAAAUUAGAUCCAACAUAGUUUUUAUAUAAAAUCUAUCAAUACUUCAAUAGAACCAAUUAGUAGAGAAGGAAAUACCAAAAUUUCCUGGGUUGACACGAAUUUUGUCAAAGCAUUCAGCAACGCGAAUUGCAAUAGGAGGGGCAAAAUGAAUGUCUGCCACCAGAGGAAUGUUAUAACUGCAUAAACAGAUAAUUAGUGAGAUAAAAUACACUCUUACGUAAUAUUGAUUCAAAAUAUCCACCAAAGCAUAUGAUACUUAAGACGACCUACUUUUUUUGAACAAGGGAGUUUUUAAUCUCAAAGCAUGCAUCUGCUUCCUUUUUCCCUUGCACUGUUAUGCGGACAAGAUCGGCUCCCUUAUCAGCUAUCCGCAUCACCUACAAUUAAGGAAAUCAACCUGAUAGUCAGUCAUCUGCAGAAAGAAUGUUAAGAUGGGCAUACAAGCAAUGUCAAAACAUCAAGUGGGGAAUGUUGGGGUGAACCAGAAAAGUUUGACCUUGGGCAUUUCCUAAUCAUAGGAGUUUGAUUAUGAGUCCAAAUGAACUCGUGAAAAUAUUAAUUCGUAAAAUUUCAUUUCAAUAUAAUUAUAUUUGCAUCUAGUAUGUUGCAUCAAGUGCUGCUGCCUAUAAACCUAGGAGUUUGACUGUAAUACAUCAGAAGCUAUCAUUGAAAAGUUAUCUAUUGUGAUAAUUGUAUGUAUCAUUUACAAUUUCAACCCUUUUUGGUAGGUCCUCUUAAUCAAGUGGAUGGACUGUUUUUAGAAAAGACAGAGAAAACCUGUCAGAAGAGAUGGGUGAUCUUAAACUAUAAAUAGUUUAUGGUGCGUUUAUAUGUGAGGCUUGCACAUAUAUGCUGGUUGAAAGAAAAGGAAAACAAAGCUAUAGUCACUAUGUGUUUCUAAGUCGCUUCAUUACAAUAACUCCAGCUCAUCCAUGUUCAUCAUGAGCUAUUGUAGCAUGUCGUUGUGUAGUGCACAACAAACUUCAAAAGACGUCAGGAAAAGAAAGUAAGGACAGAAAGAAACAUUUCAAGAGAUAAAUGUUAGUAGAAUAGAUAUCUUCUGUUUAAACUUUACUAAAUUGGAAGAAAGAAAUAUAGCAGUGGGCCAAUUAUAUUCUAGAUGCUAUCGUAGAAGAGAAAUGGAAAUGUAAGAACCUGCUCCACUGUUCCUGCAACAUCCUUAGUGUCAGUUGUGGUCAUCGUUUGAAUUCUUAUAGGAUGUUCGCUGCCAAUAGCCACAUUUCCAACCAACACCGUGCUGGUUUUUCUCCUUACAGUUUUGUGUGUGGAUUCACAAUACUUUUGCCGAGGAACUACAUUCAAAAAUUAACUGAUCAUACUUUUAUAUAUACAACGCUAUAAUUUUGCACGAUCCGGUUGGAUAAUUAGGAAAAUACAUUAAAAAAAUGUCAACUGCAAAUGUUGUUCUUUUGUCACUGACCAGCAAUAACAAUAACUCACUUGGUAAACUAUGAGUGUAAUAUCCCGAAAAAAAUAAUAAAAUAAUAUUAAAUUUAUAUUCUUAAAACAUAUUGUUUGGAACUUGUCAUUUAUUUGGGUCAAACUAGUUAUUUAAAUUAUGUGGGCUAAUAAAUAUUAAUAAGUGAUAGAUAAUAUUAUGUGGUUAAAAUUUGGGCCUUAAUAUUAAUUUAACCCAAAGAGAAGUUUAUUAGGGCAAACCUAAUUAAUAAAUAGCUAAACCUAAUAUUACUUCAUUAUACAAACUGAAUAAGAAGAGGUGGCUACUUUGGAGAUAAAGGGAACAGCUACAAAGGGGGCUCAGGUGAAGAAAGACUAGUGAUUUUGAUCACUAGUGGAGAAAUUUCAUCAGUAAUAAGUAAGUAUAUUAUCCAUUAUAUAAAUGGGGAUAAAUCACGUGAUUUCAUAUUAAAUUAUUAAAUUUAGUAUGUUGUUUUUUUCAUCAUGAGCAAGUACUUUUGUAAUUCAAGAACUAAGAGCGAUCUUUAAAGAUGGGAGAGUUUAUUUAUUAAUGUAAUACUUAUACGGAUGUACUUAUUAUUAUUAUCAUUUUAUUCCAAUCAGAUUGAACGGAGGGAGUAGUCUAUGAUUGAUUUUGGAGAUCCUAAAAUAAUAAAUUGAUGAUUUUUUUAAAUAAAAAUAUAUAUAUAUAGCAGUAGUAAUUAAAGUUUACGAAAACUUGCAUAAUUUGCAAGAGAUGUUAUACAAAUAAAUAUGUAAGAUUAUAUGGAAUGAAUUAAAUCUUAAUAUUAUAAGUAAUUAUAUUUUAUAGUCGUACCAAAUAGAAGUGCUCAUAUUUUUAUAAAUGUACUUACAUUUAGUAUUAUUAAUUUGUGUAAUUAGUUCGGACGGAAGGAACUUAAAGAGUUAUAUUUGGAAUAUAAAUUUUGGAGUAUUAAUAAUUGAUAUAAGACGAUGAUUAAAGGCAUAUUAAAUAGAUUAUGAAUUAUUUUGGAAUUAUUGAAUUGGAUUAUAUUUAAUUUGAGGUGAAUAUGUUUAGGUGAUGAAUAACGUUUCGUAUUUGAUAUCGUUGGCAUUUGAGGGUAAGAGUUUGUGGAGUGUGCUAUAAAUGGUUUGGAAGUAUCAGGUACGGAUUCCGUACGCUUUCAGCGAUACCUUUGUUAAAUUUGAUUUGUUUGUUUGUUUCCUUAUUUCGAAUUCUAUUAUGAUUUCACAUAAUUGUUUCGUGUGAAAUAAAUAUAUUAGUUUCAUUUUAGAGUUGAUACGUAUGACUCGUAUUUGUACUCUUUGAAUUAGGUUAUCAUGUUUAGUAUUAUUUAUUUUGAUAAUUGUAGAGCGGUACAUGUUGCUACCUUCCUUUUGAAACCUUGUGACUAUAAUUUGAUUCGGUUCAACAUGUACAUAUAGAACCCUUUUGUUGGUAUUAUGUCGCAUGUGUUGUGACAUGAUAUUUUUGUUAGAAUAUACCGUAGAGUAUACCUGAGUUAUAACCACCUGUGGGGGUACCACAGACACGUCGUCUUGGCACGAGAGACGUGACACUUUCCGUGGCGGUGUGAUUAGUCCACGGCGUCUCCAUUUUGGGCUUCGGAGGAAGUGGGCCAUUUGGUGUUUUUUUGUGGGAGACGUAUGGGUUAACCCUAGUUUUUUUUGUUCUGCGGAUUUGUGAUGUUGUGCCAAACACACCUAUCCGAUUUGCAUACAUUUGGAUUCGCGGUCCAAUGUGUGAUUUGCCUGUGUGGCAUUAUUUUGGUUGCCUGUGUGGCAUUAUUUUGACUUGCCUGUGUGGCAAUGUGUAUUUCUGAGCUCAUUCGGUAUAAAAUAACUCCAGCCAUUUGUUUCAGCCUAUUAUUUUAUUGGAUUAGUUUUGUUGGUUUCUGUUCAGUUCAAGUCAUUGAGUUAGUUACUUCAGUUCGUUAUUUCUUUAUUCUUUUAUUGGUUUCGUCAAUUACGUUGAUUCAGAUAUAUUCAUUACGUUGAUUCAGAUAUAUUCCAUUCAAAUCUUUGGAUAUUAUAUUUUCGUUCGUAUUUGCACUUGAGGCUUUGUUCAGUAUUUUGUCUCAGUUAUUUUCGUAUAUCAGUUGUAUAUCUUUUGUAUAUCUGUAUCCGUACUGGGCAAUUGGCUCAUGCUGUGUUUUUCUUCCGGCAGGUUUGCAGGGGUGAUUCAGGGCUAGUGUGAUGAGAUUUUUGCCUUUGACCAUUUAGGUUGAUUCGAAUUUUAAGUUUUGAUUAUUUUGACUCAGUUUGGAGAAUUGUACUUAUUACUUUAUUAAUGAAUCACCACUAUUAAUAUUUUGAGGUUGUUAGUGCUCUGUUUAUUUAUUUUGAGGUUUGUUGUGCUUUGCACGUAAUCUCCCUUUCCUUUUCAGGAAGGGGGUGUUACAGAGAUGGUAUCAGAGCCGACUCUUGAAAGCCCGGGUCGGGUUAUCCGAUCGGGUUGCCGGAGGUGGGGACACGAAGGCUGGUGGUAUUAUCCCACAAUGGAGAGAUGGAGGUCCGGAGGUGGGGACACGAAGCCAGCCGGUAUUAUCCCGCAAUGGCUAGAGAGGCAAAGAUCUUUGGACUGUGUGUGUGAUCGGUUCUGACGGGGACGUCAGAAAUUUAGGUACCUUCAAGUCAUGACCUUUUGGGUGAGCCUGUGGUGGGCUAAGUUGACCCAAGAAGAUACUAUUGGGCCAGUAGUUUGAGGCCUUAUUUUGAUGGAUUUGAUUCGAUUCGGACUUGAGAAUUGACCCAAGAUUUGUUCCGAACUCGGGAUUUGACCCGAGUUGUUACAAUGAGAAAGCAUGUUCAAGCUCAAAAGAUCAACUUAUGAGUAAAUAAAGCCAGAGGUUAGUAAUAAAUUGGUAAACUAGUUCACAUUUCCGUAACUGAAGUUGAUUUUUUUUUAAUUAUUAUUCCAAUAACCACAACACAAAUAGCAUAAACCUAAUUAUCUGUUUUUCAUCUUUGAUAGGUAUUUUUGGCCCCAAGUCCGGGGAUUGGAACAUAAGCCUUUAAGUUUAAAAUUUUUGCAUCUAUAAUCUCCUCAAAUUUCUUAGUGCCAAAACUUAAAAGGGUAAAAGAUUGAACUUUACAAUUUAGAAACCUGGCACGAACAGAUUGGAGCUUCAUAUGCAUUUUUACACAACUCACAACAUUCCCAGCACAGAAUUAAAUAAUAGAAAUUAUACCUAAUAGGGGGCUCCCUUCUGAUGCAGGCUGAACUUCGGCAAUUUCUGACCCAGGGUUAGAAUUCCUAAUCACACAGACCUUGGUUCUACGAAACUUUACCCUCUGCAAGGCAGAAAUUUUUAUAAAAUCCAUACUUUUAGUAAACCCUAAGCCAUGAUCCUUGCUCUUCAGACCAGUAAAUGAUGUUGGAACGGCUCCAGUUGCCAUUUUCACAACCACAAAGAAUCAAUAUUCACAGUCCUGUAACACACAAACCAAGCUCAAUUAAUCUAAUUUCUAACAUAACUAUACCUACAUAUAUAUAUAUAUAGGUGCUAACUAUAUUUUGGGGGUAUUCCAAAAUUCCUUUCAUAAUAAUCCUCCGUUUGGCAGCUGACAGGCUAAAGGAAGAAGUUACUUUGAGCAUCAUAAGGCCUGUUCGGCCAAGCUGUCCCGUAAGAUUAAGAACUUUCACUAGUAGAUACUCCAUAUUAGAGAAAGUGCUUUCGUUUAAAAAUGAAAAAAGUUUUUGGCAAAUAAAGUUUCCUUUCAAAAAAAAUAUGAAAAAUAAUUUGGUAUGUGUAAUGCACUAAAUUUAGCUCUCCCAAAAGUAUUUUUACACCAAAAACUAUACUUUGUUCUGUCACCAAACACUCUCGAACCUAAUUUUCUUUACUAAAAAUGUUUUUACCCACCUCACCACACUUCAAAGUUCAAACCAAACACUUAUUUUAUCUUCUUCCGUCAAAUUGAUGAAGUCCUCUUCUCUAGCGAACUUUAAACCGCUAACUAAAAAUAAAUCGGCUAUAGCGACGAUUUUUUCCGUGGUUAUAGCAUACAAAACAGAUAUAGCUAUAGCUCCGUUCAUUUUUGGUUCCCAAAAAAAAUCGUGUAUAUAUAUAUAUAUAUAUAUAUAUAUAUAUAUAUAUAUAUAUAUAAAGUUUGAAACAAACAAGAACACAUUAAUCUGCAUUACCAAAAUUCAUUUCUAGAUUGAGUCUCUGCCUGACAGAUUUAAUACCUAUUACAGUACGAAUUAUGAAACUAUCAAAUCAAAAUACAAAAUUCAGUUAACUGAUCAGAAACGACAGGCUUAAAUUAUUAAAAACACUAAAAAGUCAAACCUCAUAUCUAUCUGCAACAAAAAUAUAAAAACUGCUUUCAAAUUGACAAAAUUAGUUGACGGAAUGAAAAAUUCCUGAACGCAAACUAGGAUUGAGCGAUAAAAUGCACAUACCGUUGGCUGUUUUCUUCUGUAGCUCGAGCAAUUGAGUUGUAUUCUAGAGAGAAAGUUGUGGUGGAUGGAGAUCGAAAGACCUGCGUUUGCAAAUUAUAAUCAGCAAAAAAAAAUGAGUUACGCUUGAAUGAAUUGAAAAAAGAAGACAAAUAAGGGACCAUGAGCAUCUAUUGUUUUAGCAGCGAGUGGCCACACGAUAUAUGCAGUCUACACUCUACAGGUUGGGGAGUGAGGGAGGGAGGGAGAUUAUUUAUUUAUUUAUUUAUACCCCUAUAUUUUUGUGAUAGUUUUAAAUGUGGCGGUCAAAUUAUUCAGUAUUUGGCUGAAUUAGACCAAAAUUCACACGUGGACCCUCUAGGCCUCUACUAAUUAAUAGCGGGUUUAGAUUUAUUUUCAUAAAUGAAAAUGAUAAUAUUCCAAUAUAGUUUUAUAAUUACUGACUUUUAAGAGAGAGAUAAAAUAUUUAAAUGAAUAUUUAACAUUUGUUAAAAAUGUAAUAACGAAAUUCAUGUCGCUUUAUUGUUCAGAAUUAUCAAUGUAUUUUUAAUUUUAUAAUUAAUUAAGAAAUAUAUAAAUAUCUAAUUUUGAAACGGAUAAAAUAAGAGAAGAUUUGCAUGAAUAUAUAUAUAUAUUAGUAUUUGUGAAGAUAUAACUUCCCUAAUCAAAUGCUAAUCCAUAAACACAAUUAGUUUAAUUACAUUUCAAAAUUAUUGUCCAUUAUAAUUUAUAACUCUGUUUUUUUAUUUUUUUUUUAUUAUCCCACCAAAUAUAAUUAGAUCACAUUUAAUGAAUAUCUCCAAAUAAGAAUAGAUUGCAUUAGACCAAUAAGCUUAUAAUAAUUAUUUUCUCAAAUUCCUUAUCAAAUACAAAUACAUUGCAUUCAUUUGAUUACCUUAAUAGAGUUUAACAUUGGAUAUAUAUAUAUAUAUAUAUAUAUAUAUAUAUAUAUAUAUAUAUAUAUAUAUAUAUAUAUAUAUAACACAGUUGUUUAUGACGAAUAUUUUUUGGACUAUAACGACGGUUCACUCGUCGCCAUAUACCAGAAUAACUAUAGCGAACGACUAUGUACUACACGGCUGUGUACAUACAUUUUUCUCAUAUCUCAAACAUUUAUAUACAUUGAAAGAUAUUACUAAUAUUGAAUGCAACUAAUUAAUAUUAUUAAGAAAAUAAAUAUACAUACUGAAAUAAUAAAACCUCUCUUCUCAAAGAAUAUAUUGAAUGCAACUAAUUAAUAUUAUUAAUUCUAGCUAUAACCCUUGUUCUUUCUUUGAUUAACAUUUUACGCCUUAUAUUGAAAUGAAUAUAAUGUUUUUUAUUUUUUUCAAAAAAAAUGAUAAAUGGUAAUAUUAUUUCAAAACAAAGAAUAAGCUGAUGACAAAGCUUCAAGGCAUUUAAAUUAUUAGCAGCUAAUAGUCAAAAAGCUACUAAUAAUUCCUUAUAGUCAAAAAAUUACUAAGGAGGGGGACUAAGUGAGAAAAGUAGUACUCAUUGGUAACCAUGAUGAUAAUUGAUAAUACAUGAAUUGUUUCCCUAAAGAAAAAUAUUAUGCUACUACAUAAUUGAAGAUUUAGGGGGUGUUUAUUUAGAGCUGAAUAGAGUUGAAUUUGAAUGGCUGAAUCGGUCAGUGCGUUUGUUUUAGUCUGAAUGGCUGAAUUGAUAAGACAAACGAACUGAAUGGCUAAGUCAAUUUUUUUUAACUGAAUGGUUGAAUGAGCAGCUGAAUGAAGUAAAAAAAUUUAAAAAAUUAAAAAAUUGAAAAAAAAAUUAACUAUUAUAUUAAGUAAUAUUAAAUAAAUUUACAACAAUUUUGAAUUUUUUUAGAGGGGAUAAAAUAAUAAAGUUUUAUCAUUCAGAUGUUUCUGACAUGUCCAUUAUCAAACAGUUUUUUUUCAUUCAGAUUCAGAUUCAGCUCAUUCAGAUUUAGAUUUAUUCAGUUUUUAUCAAACACCCCCUUACUCAUCAUUUCGACAUAUAUGUCUGUUAAAUUUAAAUUUUGUUUGACACCAAACAUGGCGUAAUUGCAUUUUUUUCGUGUCCAAAAAUAAAACAAAAUGAAAAGGGAAAUUUCCCCAAAAUUCAUAAUAAUAUUAAUUUGAACUUAGAAAAUGGGCCUUUCACCAAUUUAGCUGGUAGACACAUUCUCAUAUUCGAUUUAAGCGAAGGAUGUUUGGUGAAUACAUCGAGAACUUCAAUUUGCAACGCUCCAAUGUCAGUCAGGCUUGACUACUCUACGAUUAGGUUAUUCUCAACGAGCUUUGCUUGAAUUUACGAUUCUCGUGUCCACUUUACGAACUGAAGUAUGUGUUUACGAUUUGUAAUGAACUUUACGAUAGCUGCAAAUAGCUCUGCGACUCAUAUGAUGUAUUGCGAUCAUGCGCUUACUCUACGAUCCAUCUUCUCAUUACAAAAUAGCAUAGUAGCUUUACAAACAUUGUAAACCCUAUCAACUAUACAUCUGAUUAGCUAUAAGAAGAUCAACCUAACAUUAUUUGAUAUUUUUAAUCUAAAUACAUGUACAUUGACUCAAAUCAUUAAUAAGGACUUUACAAAACAUACCAGUACAAAUAUAAAUUAAACACAUUUAUCAUCAAAUUUAAAUAUGCAAUCUCUAAUAAAAGACUUUAGUAAAUCUUUUGUAGUUUGUAUGUUACUCUUUAUAUACAAACAUAAGAACAUUUAAUAUAGGAAUAAAGUGAUAAUCUAUAUUUAAAAGUAAAAAAAUUUCAUGUACAAACAUAAAAAACACAAAAGAAGACAUAAUUUUUUUUUCUUAUAUUUUUUUUUUUGUAUUCAAAAUUCAAAAACAUAAUGAAAAGUUCCUCUUUUAUCUUAUUAAUCCAAUUUUUUUUAUCUAAGUCUAUAUAUAUAUAUAUAUAUAUAUAUAUAUAUAUAUAUAUAUAUAUAUAUAUUACCCCUAAAAAUUUAUUUUUCAAAAAUUUAGUAUAGACAAUUGCUUACAAUGGCCGUAUAGUAGAUUCGCCUUGGAGCCGGGGAUUAAUAUUUUGUGAAUUUUUAAAAUAACAAUUAAUUUUAGUUAUAUUUAUAAUAAUAGUUACAAAUUAUUCAUAUUCUAGGAUAAAAGUAGGAAAAUUAUAUAUAUUUAUAUUAUGUAAGUAUAAAUAAUAAUUUAAUUAGUAUAUAAUUAUUUGGGGAAUUAGGAUGAGUCCUCCCUAUUUUUAUAAAUAAUAUUGGAUAAUUCUCUGACCCUUUUCUCGAUCAGAAUCAAAAUUAUCGUGUCAGUUGUGAGAAUCACCGUAAAAAUUACACAAAUUGUCAUCCCUUAAGUGCACCCGCUGAUAUGAUAUGGGUCUGUCUUGGUCUGUUUUCUGGGACAUGAAAUGUAGUAGCGACCACAAAAAAAGAAAAAGAAAAGAGUAAUUGGUAUUUCCCUCGUGAAACACGUGCCAUUCACAAUAAAAGCUGCCCAAGACUUAUCUCAACGUUUAUCACGUUAUUCAUAUUUCAUUCUCCCUUUACAAGUUUUCAUUGAUGAAACUGAAAUUAUGGGCCGCCUAAUUUUUAUUUAAAUAACAUAUUUUCAAAAAUAUAUAAUUAAACUUUUAAAGCUAUAUUUUCAAUUUUCAUUUUUACCUCUCCAAUAAAAUAAAAUUUGAGUUACAAUUGUAAGUAUCGUGUUUAAUGUGUUUAGUGUUGUCAACCGCCAAAAAAUAAGAAUGCUUAUUCGGUUUCACAUCUCCCUUUGUUCCACAAAUAGUCCCCAUUCGACUUUAAUACCGAUUGAUUUGUCAAAUUUUAAAUUUAAAUUUAAAGACCGUUUCAAAAUAUAAGUUUAUUAUUCAUUUUUUAAAAUUAAUUAAAAAUAUUUUCAAACUCAAAAUUGAACAAAUUCCUUUAAUAUGUUAAUACAACGAUAAAUAUUAUAAUUUUUUUGUAAGAUUUACUUUUUCAUUAUCUUCAAUAAAUCAUCUCAAUUUUAAAUUCAAAAAUAUAUUAAAUUAACUUUCAAAAGUCAAUAAUCAUCCUAGAAUUUAAAACUAUAUGGAAUAUCAAAUAUCACUCUUUCCAUGGAAUGAACUAUGGAGGGAGUAGAAUUUUUGAGAAAAAAACAAUACAUAUAGCUUCAGGAGCAGCAGAAAUAUGUCCACAAUACUGAUGGUGGACAUUUAAACUACAAUCUAACAGUCAAAAUUUCAACAAGUGGCCAGAGUGCCGUAUCCCACCAUUAGUGGACCAAAAUUAAUAGCAAGAGUUGAUUCAUGACAUUGCCUGCAGCUGAACUAAAGAGAGGUUCCAAACUAAUACAUCAAACAAAUCUGACCCAGUAUUGGUUUCUGUUUAAAGCAAAAAUCAUGCACGGGAAAGACAAGGCAGAGUUGUUCAUGAGAUAUAUCUAUGCUGCUGCUCCUGAAGAAGUCUUGCCGAAGACUUGGCAUCUAGAUAAAGACUAGUCACUUCCUCGAGAUCGGCCUGUUAAGUGUACAAACACAAACAACAUAGGCAUGUUAGGAAAAACAUGAUUAUAUGUGAAGGAUGAUAGGUCAUGCUAACAAGUACCGAUCUAGAUGGAUGUGUAGUUUCACUACCUUGCAAAUACAGUCUCGGCCAUUCAUUUUUGCUACAAUGCUGGCAGGUGACAUCAACUGAACAGCAUGCCUGCGUAAUCACAAUAAAUAUUGGUCAAGUAAUACUAUAAUUGAGAGCAACGAUAUCAUCCAUAACAGACUAGAUGGAUGAAGCGAACCUUAAGGACACUUGUUGUCCAAUUGCCCCGAGGUAAGCCAAGCUUUCUUCAUCUACAACCAGUUCCUCUACCUGAGCUCGGAUGGCAAGAAUCUGCCAAGCAUCAAGGAAUACAUUAAUUUAGAGGCAGAUGUUUCAUUGACAAAUACUGUGAUGUUGAAACAGGUCAUACACAUCAAAACAUUGAAGAAAGAGCUUUAACCUUUAUCAUCUCAGCUAUAUCAUAAUUUAGUGUCCGUAUAAUCACUAAUCGGUCUAACAAGUCAACUGGUAUGCCAUGAGGGCUACUCAUAUCAGUUCCUCUGCGAAAACAAAUUUGUGUAAAUAAUUAAGACAUGAUACUAAUUAAAGUGUCAAAUGUACGCGCAGACAGGAUAGUUUAAAAGUUUGAGCACAGUAAAGGACUUGUUAGAGUAUGGCCUAUUAGUCAUGCCCUCAAAAGAAAACAUUAAACUGCAUGGAAAUGAUCCCAAAAAUCGCCAACCCAAGCCCAGUGCACACAGAUGAGCAACCCUUCUCCCUCCCACACACGCUCUAAAUAAAUCCAGAGGAAAUUUAAUUUUCUUUGUGCUUUUCACAUUAGAAGCCAUUGCUAGGUGCAGUACAUUGCUUCUGGUAGAAGUGAAUCACACGUAAGUUCAAGACUCGAGGCAGUCAAUUAGCACCAAAAAAAGCUGAAGAUUUAAUCCAAAUCCACCCUACAUGUUUUAUUUCACAGUAAGUUAGAUUAUGACUAUAUUACACUAUCGUGUAUCUAUGACAUUCUACUAUACAAGUUUCUGGCUGGGACCGCUAAAAUUGAGAACUAAAACAUAGUCUGACACAGCCAGAUGCAAAGUGAUCACUGAUUAACCAUCAGACUUUCUUACAAAUUUGAACACACUCUCAUUACCUAAAAACGUCUUUGGUAAGUUCCAUAAAAUACUCAUUACACAGUUUUAGCCUUCAAGUUAAUAGCUUCUUAUUUUUAGGCCUAACAUUUUAAGAGCAUAGCCUAAAUUUAAUGGCUUACCAUUUAACAACAAGAAAGAGCAUAAACUCCAUAGUUCCUAGUCAUCCUAUGUCAAAGCAGGCUUCAGUCAAAAAUAUAGGUCGAAACAGGAAUGCAUGCCAAACAAAUUUAGUGGAUACAGAUUUUUGUGUUGUUAAAAUAUUAGAUACUAUUCUUCAGUGCCAGUACUUAUCAUGCUUGAGCAUAAAAUAUUUUUCUUCCCUUCUGUGCAUUUUUGGAUGCAAUCAGUUUCAGGAUUUAAUGAUGCAAACUUAUACUAACAAUCGACUCAAAUAUUAUUUAGAAAAAGUAUCUGCAAAAUAACAACUUCCAAAUACUAAGCAAAGUUCUUCCUCGCCCUAUUCCCAGUUUGUGUAAAUUAGCAUAAAUAAAGCUUCAUACCUCACAUUACAUAUUCCUCUAUUGGUGGCAAAUAUUACUAUCGGAGAUAGUGAGCUCUCUAAAGCACGGUUUAGGUAUGAAAAGCACUCCAUAUCCAGCAUAUGUACCUGCGAAAAGGAUAUGUAAAUCACAAAAACAUAGAACGAUCUGCACAUAUAUUAGGCAUGAAUAAUAGCAGAGAAUUACUUCAUCAAUAAAUAGGACUCCUGGGACAAGCUCUGCCACACCUUCGUCAAUAUAACGGUUAACAACCUGUAAUUGAUAAACUUCAUAGUUAAAUAACACAACAUUAUCUCCUGAGCCCUUCAAUCUAUGGAAUACUGCAGGUAUAAAGAGGACGAAGAAGAGGUGGGAGGAAUUCAUAAGCUAUCCUAGACCAUCAUGUCCUAAUAAGUAGGAAUUAGGUAUACAGUUAUCAUUAGAUUACCAUAAUGAUUCAGUAAUAACUAAAACUACUAGACUUGGGUACAAAUGAAUUAGGUUUUGUGGGAAAGAUUAAACAACUUAGUCAAAGGAUUAAUCUGCUCUCAACCCUAGGUCACAUAAAGUCCAGAUAAAUCGAAAAGCCUAAGUUGACAUCUCCAUAAAUUCAUAGAAUAAUACCUUAUUUAUUUCUUGUCGUAACUUGUCUGUAAUUUCAGUUUUCCUAGGCUUCAUCAUUUGACCCAUAAGGGACAAUAUAUCUUGUCCACCUUGAGGCCGUGCAUUUGCAGCAUCCAGAUCAUGUAGUGUAACAUCCUGACAAGGCAAAAAAGAGAUGCAUUAUAACCACAGAAUCCCUAUAGAUAUUCAAGAACCUCAUUUCCACCACCACUGAGAAUGAAUCUUUCUUAAAAUGAAAAGGGGGAUAAGGAAAAGAAACUUCAUUCUAAUAACACCAAAACGGCGGUAACAUGUUAAAGGCUUUAGAACACAUUGGAUUUGAGAAGUUUCCAACAAAAUUAUGAGAUAAAUUACACAACAUUUAAUAUUUUAUGCACGAUAUACAAAAGAGAAAGACUAAGGUGUUGUUUAUUUUGACUAAGGGGGUGUUUGUUUAGAGCUGAAUGACUGAAUCGGUCAGUCAUUGUUUGUUUUGAAUAAAAAUCGUUUGAAUGACUGAAUUGGUCAAAUUUUUAGGCUGAAUGCCCAAGUGUAAUUUUUUUUUGUUGAAUGAUCGUUGAAUGAAGUAUUUUAUAUUAAUUUUUUUUUUCAAUAUUAACUAUUAUAUUAAGUAAUAUUAAAUAAAUUGACAACAAUUUUGAAUUUUUUUUAGAGGGCUUAAAUAAUAAAAAAUUAUUAUUAAGAUGUUUCAGACAUGUCAAUUAUCAAACAAAAAUUUUCAUUCAGUUUUCAGAAUUUUGCUUCAUUCAGCUUAUUCGGAUUACUUAAACAUUCAGAACUAUUUCAUUCAAUUUUAUCAAACAUCCCCCAAGUGAUAAGGUCUGAAUACUGAAUACAAGUCUAAAACAAGAAGUAACAUCUGGAUGUUAAAUGAACAACAAAAUAGCUAAAAUUAAUUUACAUUAAAAAUGAAAAAAUAAAGGAGCGAAAUCAUAGUUUUGAUAAAUAUAAACAAUGACUCAACUUUUGAAAUCUUAAAAAUGUAAAAAGUCGUCCAUCUUGUAUGGCCCAACACCUUUCAAAUACAUAAUCUCAUUACCAAUGUUUUAAAAGGCGUUAGGCGAUAGGCGGGCGGCCAGGGGGGCCGAGCGCCUAGGGACACAACGCUAAUUAGUUGUGUUAUAAUAAUGUAAGAUAAAAUAUUAAAAUUGUCAACGCUAAAAAAUUAGGUAACACUAAUUAAAAUAAACAUACCUCAAUUGAUUAUCUCACAACAUUAAAGUAAAUUAAAGACUAUUACCAUCAGAUUAUGAACACUUGGUAUAUACACGCACACUCAUAAAUAUAUAUUCUGUGCUAGUGUAUAGAACCAUACAGCAUAAACCAUAUCCCAAAAUACAUAGAAACAUACCUGAACUAUCUCCUUCUUUUUAUGAACCUCUCCUUUAGGAAGUGGAACAUACUCUUCUGCCUCAAGAUCAAAUUCUGUAGCAAAUGCAUCACUUCUUCCUACCCUUUUGACUGCACCACUAUUUGCUUCAAUGUAUAUGACAUCACCGGUAGCUACCUGCAGUUUGUCUCGUAAGAACCAUUAGAUGUUAUCAAAGACAAGAGCCAAUCAUGGAUCUUCAAUCCAAAGUACGACACUAUUCAAAGAUAUUAAAAAUAUUUUUUAUAUAUUGGGGGAUGCAAGACCCUCAAAUCAGUUCAAAAACAAUACAGAGUAUUAUAAGAUGAAAAGCAAUGGAAUCAAAUAUAAUUUAGUUUUAAGCAGGAAACCCAACAUACAAUGACCUUACCUUUUCCUUAAUCAAGGCAUCAUAAAUAGUCGGAUCUAGCUUCAGUUGCUUGGUUCCUUUGACAGUUUUUAACCCAAUAAUUACGUGACUAAUGCUUUUACCAUAUCCACCAGUGACGCUCUCCAUUUCCUCUGGUGAGAGUUCAGUCACCUAAAACAAAAGUAGCAGAAUAACACAUCAAAAAUUGACAGCAAACAGAAAAGACAGAUUAUAUGCAUAUAAACAGCAUUACUAGGCAAAUUAAACACUAAUAGAAAAAUAAAAAUCAAGACAAUGUACUUGCCUCUCCUUCAUAAACCUCCUUAUUUUCUUUGAUACGUAGACCAAUAGCCCGUCUGAAAUUUUCCAUCAAAACCUCAGUUUUCUUUACUUCUGAUGAAUAUACUUCUGAUCCAACCAUUGGACAGAAUGGAACCUAAAAGUAAACAGGGAAAAAAGUUUAAUUAAAACAAGAUAAAUUAUAAAGUUUUAAUAUAAAGAUCAAGAAUCAAAACCAGAUAUUAAACUAAUUGUUCCCUCAACAACACAAUUAAAUGAGCUGAAAAAUAUUGCAAAAACAAAAUGAACAUCACCACCAGUUACCACCUGCAUAAAACAGCUAGAUAAAUAUGUGAGGAGAUGUACCUUACUUCCAAGCUCCUGGGAUACACCAAGGGCAAGUGCUGUCUUGCCAGAACCAGGAGGUCCAGCAAGUAGAAGAGCCCGGCCAGCCAUCUUCUUUUGGCGUAUCAUAUCAACAACAAGGCCUGAAGCUUCUCUUGCUGCAGCCUGACCAACAAAGCCAGCAGCCAAAGGUAUUGCAUUUCCAUUCGGCUACAAAAGAAUCAUAAUAAAAAGUAAAAAACUUCUAACCUUCAAUCAGCUAAAUAAAAACUUAUAAAGAGAACCCAGUUGACAAUUUCAUAACUAGCAGAGAAAUUUUUAACAUUCAAUCAAUUAAAUACAAUACUAUCACAAUCCCACCUCUGAAUAAUCACUAGGGUUUCACUAAUAAAGCUUAAAUACAGCAAAACUCAUGUACAAAAAGUACAAAACCCUAAAUCCCUAGUAGGACAUAAAUCCAAAAUCCUUAACCGGUUAAAACCCUAUCGAAUAUAAAAUUAACAAUAACACAAAAUUAUUCAGAAUAUGAAUGAAUCAGUAUAGAAUUAAGUGAAAGAUGCUGAGGAGCAAAAAAGAAGAGUGAUACAUAUAUAUACAUGUGUAUAUACGUACCUCAAGGCCAAGACCUUUGAUGUGAGUAUGGGUAGCAACCCUUUGCUUCUUUGUUGUGGAUUGUACUUCUUCUAUCUUCAUUUGCUCUCUCUACUAUUUUCUCUCUCUUCUGUCUGCUUCGUUUCUAUGGUUUAACAGUCGAAGGUCACUCUAGUUCUACACAAUUUCUAAAGACGAAAAUGGAGUUAUAUGGGUGGCCGGGUUUAUAAAUAGUUCAGGUUAAAUCAGAAUCAAAUAGGCCCAAGAUUGUAGAUGUAAACUGAACCUCCUACUUCUGUUUCCAGUAAUCCUAUUGGCCCAAUAGCAUUUCCCUUUUAUUGUAAUGUGCAUUUUAUUAUUAAUUUUUAAAAUAAUAUUAUUAAUGUUUCUAAGUUCUCUGUUUCAAAUUAUCAAUAUUGAUUUUUUAAAAAUUAAUUUCAGAUAUUUUUAAUUUUUAAUUUUAAAAUUGGCAUAAUUUAUUAUUUUUUGAAAAUAACAAAUCACUAACAAACUCACCAACUUGUCCUUCGCUCGUGGUGGUAUGAAUAAUGGUUUUAUUAUGUUAUUUUUUUAUGAUGACCAGUUAAAUGUAGGAUAGAUGCUUAAUUACAAUUAUAAGAAGAUAGUUGGAAAUUUUAAAUUAUUACAUAUUAAUUUGAAUAAUAAAUUAUUGAAUAAUAUCUUAGAGGUUUCUUUGGUCAAAUAUUAAGCUAAACAUUUAAAUGUUGUAUAAAUUUAUUUAGUUAUGAUUAUGAGAAAAUAAUUAUUUUAAUUUUAUUUAAGUUUGUAAUGAAAUUAUAGUUAUAUUAGUGUUUAUAUUGACAAAUUUUGAUUGAAAUUCUAAUUCAAAUUAGAACAAUGAAAGUCAAGUUUUAAUCAAUUUUAAUUUAAUUAUGACAAUUAGUUAAUAACGAAUACACUAUUAUUAUGUUUCAAAAUAAAAUUUUAAGCUUUAAUGAACUUCAUUUAUUUAGUAAUAAAAUUUAUGACUAAUAUUAAAAUAAAAAGGCUGACACACAGAGACAUUAGCUCCCCGCCUGCAUGUCAACACUAUAUUCAUGUCAGUUUUGAAUUUAAAAAUAUUCCACAUUAGUAAAAGGAAACAAACGGAAUGGCAGAAUGAACACCUAAGUUCAACCACCUACAUUGGUGAAUAAAUAACAUUGCUAUCCAUUUGUGCCAAAGGGAAAAAAACUCCCGGUCUCAGCUUAAAAUGCAUUGUUGCCUCCACAGUAAGGAAAAAGUUCACCGGAAAUGAAAUACUACCAAUUUAUCAUAUCCAGUUUAUCCCCGAAAAGAAAGCUUGGGGCAGAUUCAAGCUACUCACAAUGUGUUGAGAGAAUAAAUAUCAUCAACCUACCGAAAGUCUCACAUUCUUAACAGUGGCAGUUUCUCAAAGCAUAACUCAAGUUGAUAUGGUCAAGUAACAGUUCCAUCUUCUAAAAGAGAGUGUCUCUCGAGGACUGCGAUAGUCUCUUCUUUGGCACUGCCAAUACAAAAGAAAGUUGAUCAAAUUUUUUGUCUGGCAUGUUAAUACACAAUUGAGGUAAAAAAUUCUUGAGCAGUCAUUAAGGUACUUGUCAUUCCUUAAUCCUUACAUAACCAUAGCAAAUUGGAAAAAGGAAUAAUGUAUGGAGGAAGCAACUUUCUGCAACCAUAAUCAAUAAUUUGAAAAGAAUAUACUUUUCUAAAAGGACAAGAUUGAACUCAGGCUAGUUCUCAACAAGAGAUCUCGAUUAAGUAAAAUACGGGGAAUCCAGCAGCAGAACAAGCACGGUUCAUUUCCACUGGAUUGAUAACCCUAGAAAUUUUGGAUUGUCCCACAGUUUGACUGCUUGUGGCAAAAAAUAAAUAAGAAAAAACCAUUGACAAUCACUUCAAGUUGUAGUUUAGGAUAGACUUCAGCAGAUUUAAUUAUAAUAAUUUUAUACUCCUAGAUAAUAAAAUCAAGAAUUGUUUUUCAUGCUGAUCAAGUCCAUGCAUCUAGGAUGCUUAUUCUAAUUUUCUUAUCUAUUUCUUAUGCAUUCAAUAUGAUAGUUUUUACUCAAAUCUUACAAACAGCAUCCAACCCACCAGGAAUAUUAGAUGCUUACCUUCCAGGUCUCAGAAUCUUGUACUUUCCUAUGCUUGUAAGGUCUACAACUGUUGAACCUGCACGCCCAGAUGGAAGAACGCCACCAUCAUACACGUAUGCACAGUGUUCCCAGAGGUCAGCAAAGUCUUUGAUGUCUACACUACUUGGCUUCCCACUGAGGUUUGCACUUGUCAGGGCCAGUGCACUUCCCGAACCACGGGUAAUGACCCUGAUAAAGUUACAAUCAGGCACUCGAACUCCUAUGCUAUUUAAUCCAGGGUUUAACGAUUUCUCCAGAAUGCUUGAAUCUCCUGCAAAAUAUUCAAAUUCAAAUGUCAGAUCUCAAUGUGGUAUUAUAUGACACAGUGAGACAUUUACUGCAAAUUAACUAGAUGCUAGCAAUAUGGUCUUAAACUACAUGAGCAGCUGUCUCUAUAAAGGCUCAGGCGGAGUGUCUUCUUCUUAAAAACUGAUUUUAUAUCAAUUUAGGCAAUGGACUUGAAAAAGUUAGAUACUUCACAGAAAAAUGCAAUCUAGCUAGUAGCUCCCCUUUCUAAAAUGUAUUACCAUUAUUGAACAUGAAUGUUCACAGUUAACUUAGAUUCCUAAAAACGAUUACGUACUUUGUUUACCCCUUCUUAACAAUUCAUAAAGAAAAUAAAGGUUUUAGCAACAAACCUCGCCUUAACACCACAGUUACAGGUCCUGGAAGGAGAUAAUCAAGUAAGCCAUGAGGCAAAUGAUUCGUGACUGCAAACUUCUCUAUGUCCCACACAUCCCCAACACAAAUUGCAAGAGGACUCGUAUAUUUCCGUCCUUUAAUCUCAUAAAUCCUAUUAACUGCUUCAAGAGAGCUGCAACAUGGCUCACAGAAACAUAAACACGAGUUUAUAAUAUUUGAAGGACAAGAGUACAUGGAGAAUUAAGGCUGGCCUAAGAACUUCCACAUAAAUUGUGUAGAACAUAAUGACGAGGGUUUUAGUCAAGUAAGAGGAAGUGAGGGUCAUGAAUUUUAUAUACUUAUUUUUCUCCAUGUCCAAUCUUUAUACCACAAAAAUUUACUAAGUAGGCUCUUUCAUAAAUACUGAGAUGAGAGACUCAAACUGUUUUCUCAGGGCAAGGAAGAUCUGUAGUGGGAUUCAAGUAACGGAAUAAACAAUAAAAUCACAUAAUAGGAAAAUUGUAAAUCUGAAAGAAACAUUCAUUGAAUCACGUAACUUACAUUCAUUUGUUUAAUCAUGAACAAGGCCAAAAGAAUGUAAAAUUUAUCGUGUGGGUUUCAGAUGAUCACAUUUGAAGGAGAAUGACGAUUUUCAUGCGUACUUCUGAAUUGCAGCAAUGAGAAUUGAUCGGGCACUUAAAUUAGUUGUGCAUAUACAUCAAAAUCUUCCAAAAGUUAUAGUAUUGUCAUGGACUGGUAGAGGUAGAGUAUUUCUAUGUAAACUGUUGAGACUUUUUUGAGUUCUCAACAAAUAUAUUCCAGAAAUUUUGCACCCUUGUUAUAGAAAGUAAAAAAAAUUAAAUUGUAUUUCUUGUAGCCGUAAAGCCACCCUUGCCAUUGGUAUGUUUCGUGGACGCAAUAGCUUUUUCCACAUUUCAGAAGAAUAUUAAUGCACUCGCCACUCUAUCAAGAUAAUUUUACUUGCUUUUAUAAUGUUAAAACUAAACUUUUAAUCUCAAUUUUAUAUUAAAAUCUCAAAGUAUAAAUUAAGAAACCAAAUCAUCCAAUGGUAUAAUUCAACUGACUUUUAAUUCCGGCAUAUUUAUGUAAACACAAGAAUUGUAAAGAUUGAAAAACAAAAUAAACAAGAACGGUCCUGAAAAAAUUAACAAAAAUAAAGUACAUACCAAGCAUCACAAGCAAAUCCGUAGAGUGUAUCAGUGGGAACCGCUAUGACUUUGCCAGUUUUAAGAGCUUCAACUGCUUCUUUGGCAAAAUCAUCUGUCGCUGGUCGAACCAAACCCAACUGAGUUUCUGCAUUUGAUUCACAUUUCUCAAGAUUCCAAGCCAUCUUCUUCGUUAAGGCCCCUCUGAAUCCUCGUUUAUGUUGCCGGAUUUUCACUAAUCUAAACCUGGACACACCUGACACAUACAUAUAUAAAUAUAUGAAUAUCAAAGAAGAAUAAGGUGUAGACUGGAUAUAUAUACACACACAAACGCACAGAGAGAGAGAGAGAGAGGAGAAGAUUGACGAUUACUAGCAUGUAGGAUGAGCACCUCGGAUUGAAUGUUGGAGAGAGAAGUGGGAGCAGAAGAAAGGCAAUCUCUCAGCUAUUUGUACCGGCACAAUAUUCAUAACUAUCUUCUCUCUCUAUCCUCCUCCACUUUCAAUGACUUUUUGCUCCCGGAGAGAGGAAGAGGAGGCAGCACACUACUAGAAAGAAGGGAGAUUUUUCCUUUUUGAAUACUGAAUUUUGUGGACUCAUUAGAUUAUUCAGUUAUCUCUCUCUGCAGUCUGCUCAUAAAAGUGCAAAUUUUAAAAUGUUGUGACACAACAAAACAAUUCAAUUAAUCCGUAAGAUAUUAGUAUGCAGAAUUUAUAAACGUAAUUUCACCUAACAGAGCAUACAUCAGAGUUUUUACAAGGUUUAAACUAAAGAAAAGAGGUAAAAACAACUAUUAAUUUGAUUUAAAUCUAUAUUUGGUAAAUUAGUACAUCACUUUUGGAACCUAUUCAUAGGCUUUAUAAAACUUGGAUAAUAAUUAAUAAGUCAAAAUCUCUUCACAAUUCUCCUAACUUACAUACUGACCUAUUGGACUCAAACUUCACUAUUUAGACCCCAAAAAUAAUCUAAACCGCAAGUACUUUUUGACAUUUCCACAACAUCUCUCUCUAAGAUCUCUAUUCAUGUGACAGAGACCUUGGGAAAGUAUAAAAAGUGCUUGUAGAAUUAUGAAUUCUUAAAAGAAUAAAUUUUCAAUCACAAAUCCACCAAACAGGAGUUAAGAAAUUUGAGUUUAGUAGAUAUCACCACAAAAAAAUCAACUUUAUCAAAUUAAUACAAUAUACGGACAUGUAAAUGCACAACAUCUUAAAAAUUUUGUAUUGGGUCUUUUCUCUAACUACAAUCAUAUCCGAAUUAAUUUCAUGGGCAUUUUCUUUGUUAGGUUCUUCAACCAGACAAACCUUUGCUAUAAAACUUUGGACUCCAAAAUAUCACAUUUUACUUGAAUUUCAUCGUCUUUCUCCAACAUAUCAUCAGUAUAUGUGUAUGUAUAUAUAUAUAUAAUAUUUUACUUGUAUAUGUAUAUAUAUAAUAUUACAUAUUUUGAAACGGAGGGAGUAAAGAAUUUCCUUACUGUUAAAUAGAAGACAAACCUGGGGCUGGGCUGGGGCUGGAGCUGGACGGGGGGAGGAGACGGCGGGGGAGAGAAGGGAAGAAUAGGAUUGUCUAUAGAGAAUUUUUGGCGGGUCAGCGGAACAGGGAAGAAAAAUAAGGGAUAGACAGUAGUCUACGAAAGAGUAUAUUUCUUUCUUUUCCUUCUUCCGGAUCCACAUUUUUUUUUGUAAACAAUGUAUGUAUUUACUACAUUUGUACGGCAAAACAAGUCAUCCUAUAACUUUUGAAAAAAAUCUUAAAAUUAUUCAAAUUUAUCAAUUAAUUAAUAAAAUUGUGUAUAGUAUAACUAUAAACUAUUCUAAAAGUAACACUAAUUUUCAAAAUUAUAUUUUUAAAACUUAAAUAAAUUCAAAUCAAUUUAAGUUUAUAGUUAUGCAAAUUGAUUUAGUCAAGAUUGGACUUCUAUAAUUUCCAUGAAACAGGGAGUAGAAGCAUAAGUGAUAAAAUUACAACCUUGGUCUUGAAAAAAAGGAUCAUUUUCAUUUUUUAUGUAUAUAUUAAGAUUUACAUGUGAUGCACAUCACCCAAUAUUUUUAGCUUUCAUUUUCUCAUAAUUUUUUUCAAUACAAAAUUUAGUCUUAUAAAUUUAACAUUAAACAAAAAAAAAGGUCUUCAAAAGGAAAACUGGAUGUCAAAUUUGAAUCUCAUAGAAAGCUGAUGAGAACAUUUGAGGAACAAAGUAUGUAAACUUACUCUUAUAUUUACAACACAACAAGGCAAUACAACCAAGUUUCUUUAAAUUCAACAAUUAAGAAUAAACCCAGCUUAAAACUCUAUCACCCAGUAUUGCUCCUAAGAAUUGAGACUCUAGGCAACUUCAUAACAUACAGAACCACCUAAACUCACACAUGAACAACAUUGUAAAACUUUAUGUCCUUUCUUUUUCUCACCCCAUAUGAAGAAAGAGGAAUCCAAAAGUGAGCUGCUCCAACAUAAACACCUUUUUUCGCAGCUAUACAAGUUUUAAACUAUUAGGUAACGCGGCGUAUUACCUCCGACUAACAGUUUCUGGAUUUUCCGUUUCUGUUUGGUUGAGUGGAGGACGGUCUACAUGGGAUGACACUGCAGUUUGCGGCCGUCUACUAGCAAAUUGCAAAUUGUCAUGAAGAUUUGAUGAUUCUUGCCACCUUCUCCUCCAUCUCAAAACCUCGACAAUAAUAGAACUUCCACUCAUUGCAACACCAAAUCCCGCAAAUGUUGCUAGGAGAAUUGACAGAACUGGUUGCACAUGAACCUAUACACAACAGAGAAGGGGAAAAUACCAAACCAUUUAUACUGUAAUUAUCUCUUAAGUACAAUUAAAAAAGUUGGAUUUAUAAUCAGUUUGACAUGGCUCAAUCAGUAUAGAAACAUAUAAGUCGAUGAAAUGGAACAAAUUUACAGGUUUCAAGAUUUAUAAAUAUUUUUUGGAGGGAAGUUUGAAAAUAAGCUGGAAAAACUAUAAUGUAGUAAUCAAAUUCCAGCAUGUUAUGGUUCAAAUUUAUAUUUCAUACUAGCAAAUUACAAAAGUCAAAUAUACGAUGUAGUCAAAUUCACAUUCUAUCCUGCCUGAUUUUGUAAAAUAAUAGUUUUUAUACUUUCUUCGGGUAAUUCACAAGAUACAGUUGUGAGCAGAGAAAUCCUUACCAAGUUGAAGAAAAAAUGUGCAAAGAUAACCACGAAUGCGAAUUGAAUUGAUGCAUAAAGCCAGACAAACCUUCUCUUCACUAUAAACAAAAUUUAGAGUACUCGAGUCAGUACUGGGGGUAAAGAGAACAGUAAGUAUCCUAUAAUUAACUCAACACUAUAUUCCAGCAUUUAAAUGGGAUUGGACCCAUUAACAAGUUCAUUAAUACGUUUCCAUUGAAUUAUUCGUAGUUGUGUGUGUUUCAGUGUUUUAUGUACACUUUCAAUGGAUGAUUUCUAUAUCAUAUGUGGGAUCAACUAUCUAGUUACUCAUUAUAUUCAGUAUUACACUGUACUGUAUUAUUAUAUAUUAGAUAUGUUUUUACAUAAUAAUCCUUUCUGUUUAAAUUGUUUGCCAGCUUACCCAUGGUUGAAGAGGUCAUGGAUGCAAGGAGACCCAGUACACAAGAAAAUGGAAGCGAGAGAGCUAUUGCACCUGUACCCAUACUUGCAACCUGUUCAUAACACAUUAUAUAACCAAGAAAACUAUUUCUAGAUAAGAAUACCAGACUAAAUCCACAUCAAAUCUUACCAAAAGUUGCUCGAGAAAACAAAAGUAGGCAAGCAUGCUGACAAUAACAAGAAUUGGCACCUCCUGCCAAACCCUGUAGACAUCACUGCAAAGAAAUUGGAUUCGGAUGGCAAUAUAUGACAAAAUAAUUCUUAGUGGGUAUAAAUAGUUCUACCUCCGUCCAAAAAUGAGAGCCUCAUUUGAACUGUUGACUUUAUUUAAUUUGCCUACGAGGCUAUGACACACUUGUCACAUUAACUUUUUUGUCCAAUUAUGACAUUUGGACUUGAAGAAAAAAUUCAGUAAGACUAAUGAGACUCCUAUAUAUGGAUGGAGAGUGAGAAGAUACGAGAGUGAGAGGGAGUAUGAGUCACACUUGCCUGAAUCCAUUAACUUCCAUCCGUGGGGCUCUAUUUGCUCCAGUAAUUUGAUUUUGAACACUUUGAAUCCGCAAAAGCGUGACAGGUAGAUUUUGAACCUCAUGCUUGCACACUUCACAGGUUUUGUUACCUUUGAUGCUAAACCAUUUUACAGCGCAUUCUUGGUGAGCCAAAGCAAGUUCACCUUUGCAUUUGCAUUCCAUCUUUAGGGUCUCUCCACCUUCACAUAAUUCAACCAUACAGAUUCUACAAACAGCCUCUUCUUCUGGUAUAUCUUCCGCAUCAUCUUCAUUAUUUUCUAAACAAUAAAACUAAUAUUAGAGACAGAACUUAUCACAGCAAAUACAUACUGAACAAACAUACCCAAACAACAGCAUUAAAAAGUCCUAGAAACUUAUUCUUCAUUUGAUUGCCACAAAAACUGAUAGUGAAAUAUGCAAUACUAUCAUUGAUUAAAAAGAAAACAGGACUUUGUUUCAGAUGUUAUGAAAAGGGUUCCAGCAUUUGCGAUGAAAAAAAAUAGAGAAUCAAUGAAUUUUUAGUUACUCAUGAGCUAGGAAAGUAUGAUGUAAGAUAAUAAAGAAAACAACAAUACCAUCAUCUCCAGUUGUAUCUGUACUGGACAUUGUGUCAUUUACAUCUCUUACUCGAGGAGUUGAGGGAAUUACACGGAUAAAUGAAUCCAUUCGCCUCAUGGUCGGGCCUUUCUUUAUAACAGGGACUGAAAGUGAACGAGAUAUGUGCCUCUGGGCUGCUUUUGUCUACACUCAACAAUGAAACGGAAGUUAUAAUGCCUGUUUGCAUAUGAGCCUGAUCUUGAACCAAAACCUAAAGAAGACCGGAACAUCAACUAAAAGUGACUGAUUAAAGAAUAACGAGUCCCUCAACAAUAAUGUAGUGAGUUUUAGUUUUCCUAAGUAACUCACUAAUGCUUCAUAAUGGUCAGGCCUUUGUUAAUAACAACACAACUGCUUUCCCAUAUAUAUUUUUUGCAACAAUUUAAUGCUGCUCUAGAAAAAAUCAAGAUCACUAAUGCAAUAAGAACAUGACGGAUGUCUGUUAUAUUCGUAACAUGUCCAAUGCUAGAAAAAAAGUGGGGAUUUAUUGCCACUUCACCGCAACCCAUUAUAUGCGUCCAUACACCUUUCGGACAGGUGCUGCACUUUCCAUCUUAAGAAGGUCAACUGCCAACAACCAACUCGAAGGUAAUACCAGCCAGCCAACUGUUCAAUCCGACAAAUCUCACACAUAAAUAACAUGAAACAAGUACAAUAAAGAAUUUUUUAUUGUUUAGAAAAAAAACACUAAAUGACUCAACUUCCAUGUCCUCAAUGCAUUCCUUUCAAGUUACCCUCUAAGUUAAUUAAGAUAAGCCUUUCAAAACCCUUUUUUAUUUAUUUAUACUUUUUAGAGCAAGUCAAUGUGAUCACAUAUGCAUGCAAUCAGCAAUCACUUUAUACUUUUAUAGGAUUAAAUUAGCUGUGUGACUAGAUGCCUUAAGGUAAUCAUGGCACCUUGAUUGGCCAGUCAAAUCUGUUUUUCUCACCCUUUAGUUAUUCUUUAUUGUGGAAUAGAAGCCAUCUAAUGUGCUGAUAACUUACGUCUAAAUUUAGUGAGCUGCUUAAGUUUCCUCCAGAUAUAGAUUCUGAGUUGGACCGUGAAAUUGGAGUAACAGGUAGAGACGAUGUUCUCUUCAUCCGAGGAGUAAAUAUCUUUGUAAGUGACCAAGAUCUUGAGAUAGUAGGCUUCUCCUGUGGCCCUCCUGGAACUAAGUUUGUGGCUUUCUCUACAUCUGAACUAGAAUUCUUGUACUUGAAGCUCAGCUUUGGCAAGAGUUGCUUCAUGGAUGAUUUACCUCUGAAUGGGGAAGGACUAGGAGAUACAUUAAGUCUUGUAUUAGAAGGGCUAGGCGUCAGAAGGAAAUUUACUUUCUUGGGAGUGGGAGUAGGGGUAGGCGGCAUCUUUAUUUGAACAAACUCUUGAGAGGAGAUCUCCAUGUUUCUUGAUGGUAUCUCCAGGAAGAGAUUUGGCUUUCUCCAGUGCUUACAGUGUGGUGUUCCUUGACUUGAUCCAGAAGAAUCUUCACCCUAAAAAAAGAAUAAGAAACAUAAAAACUACUAAAUUGGAGAACAUGCAAAGUAGGCAUAAAAUCUUCAUAUUGUAGCAGAAAAUUCUAUUUGCACCUACUAAAAUGUAACAUGGGUAGUCCUAAAACUAAUUGAAAUUUGAAGUCCUGUUGCUUUUUAAUUUGAAGAAUGACUAGAUAGACCAUGUCAUCAGGUUCACUUUUAUCUAAUUCCUAAUUCAUUUUUAUCUAAUUCAGAGUCUGUCACAAGGUGUUGAAUAAUUGAUAUUCGUACUGACAAUGUCACUCCAUCAUUUAGUUAUCAUCUUAAUUAUGUCUACAUGUAGGAGUUGAAUGGAAAUGUUCACAAAAUAAGUUAUAAAAAUUUAAAAAUAAACAAAUAAAACAAAUUUGAUGACAGAAGUAGGUGAUCUAAAGCAGGUAUUUACAUAAAAUUACUAUAGUCUAAAAUGAGCCACAACAGUGCCAUUCACGUUAUAGAGAUUUAUUCAGUACUUUACAAAUUAUUUGAAUCAUUUAGUAUGAAUUUCAGUUUGUCUUAGCUAGAAGUUGAGUAAUUUACACCGUCCGGGAAUUUUAUUUAUAAAGGAAAGGAAGAGUUACAAAGGAAGAUAAUUAUAUCCAGGACAUAAACUAACAAACCCAAACGUAAAAGCUCGAGCCUGAAAAUUAUGUAUUGACAAAGUAAGAAAUGGCUCAAAAUUUUCAAAGAAACCCAUUAAAGGUUUCAACUUUCAUACAGAUCUUACUGUAAGCCCACAUAAUUAGGAAAAUAACCAAAUUCCCAGAAAAAGAUUCAACCAAAAAAAACAGAAAGAAAAGCACACACCUUGUCAAUUGAAAUAACAACCUCGAUCUGGCAUUCACUCCCAUUACCCAUUUCAGUUAAAGAUUUAUUAUUCUCUUCAGGUUUCAUCUUCUCCUGUAACAGUUUCUGCUAUAUAACUCCCAAUACUAACAAAGAACCUUAAAAAAUGGAAAAGAGGCUCUCUUUGUGUGUGAAAGAGGAGAGAGAAAGAGAGAAACUAAAGUUAUGGGUAUUUCUUGAGGUGGGUAAUUACUGAAGAUGGAAGGGGGAGCAAUGAAGUUGGCAUUCAUUUAUGGCAAAAGCCAGAGGAAGUGGGGAGAGCUCCUUGCCCACUCCACUCCACUCCAUCAAGUUUGGUUGCUAUCGGGGCUUCUGAAAAGUUUGUUUAACCGGUUUUAAGUCCUAAAUUUGUGUUGGUGAAUUAUAAAAAUUAAGUCCUAAAGUUUGUAUUCGUAAGAUAAAAAACAUAUUUAUUUAAAUAAGAUUUUUAAUUACGCUUAAACUUUAAAAUUAGAAAACUCAAGUUAUAAACCAAAAUGCACUUGCAUACUACUUGCAACAUCAUAAAUACUACUCCCACUUCUUAUAAAUCUCACUAACACUCCUUAUAAAUCCCAUUCCCAUUCCUUAUAGUGUGGGUGGGGUGAUCACUUCAUGUUCCAAAAUAUGCUGACACUACGGGAGUGUUUGAUAAAAAUUGAAUAAAUUUAAAUCUGAAGCUGAAUUUGAAUCUAAAUGAGUUGAAUUUGAAUAAAAAAAAGUUGUUUGAUAAUUGACAUGUCUGAAAUAUCUGAAUGACAAAACUUUAUUAUUUUACCGCUCUGAAAAAAUUCAAAAUUGUUGUAAAUUUAUUUAAUAUUACUUAAUAUAAUAGUUAAUAUUUUUUUUAAUUUUUUAAUUUUUUUAAUUUUUUUUUACUUCAUUCAGCUCAAAAAAUCUGACUUGGCCAUUCAGCUCGUUCAUCUUACCAAUUCAAUUGUUCAGACUGACCAUUCAGUAAACAAAAACUUAUACUAUUAAGUACUUAUUGUUUCUUUUCUUAGUCCCACUUCCAUAAGAAACUGAGAGAAGGAGAGGGUUUAAGUUAGUCAACCACUAAGUUUUCCCCCCAGUAUUUAGUCAACCACUAAGUUAUCAAAACUGGCGUGUAACCCAUUAUAGCUGAAUUGCAGCAUACCCAUAAUUAUCUAUGCUUUUGUAUUAUCCAACUUAUAGAUUCUUUUCCAAAUUCGAUUUUUAUAUUAGAAUUAAACAACUCGGAUUAAAUUUCAAAUCCGAAUUAAAUCAAAUCAAAUCUGUCUAAACAAACUCACCAAAAAAUAUUGAAUUAUAUUACAACUCGGGUCAAUUUUUUCUUGUUUAAGAAGCCUAUAACUUAUAAGAGCAAAUCUACAAUUAUAGUACAACUUAUGAUAUCUUACCCUUGCACUAACAAAGAAUAUUUAAUUUUUUGGGCAGGAAAAUAACCACUAACAAAGAAUAUUGAAUCUCUUGUUCUAUUAUUUAGCAAAAAGAAAAGAAGGCAAAGACAGAUAAGAUUCUGUGAAGAAGAUUUACAUGGUUGAGGAUUUUACAAAAUAAUUAAAAAUCACUAAUAUAGAAAAUCCUCAACCUCAAAAGGGUUUUUUGAAUUUUGUUCAUGGCUAUAAAAAAUGAAGUAUUGGCUGCCAAAAAGAUCAGUGUCAGUAAAUUAAGAUUUAGAUAAAGAUGUUUGCUUUUUCUUUCCACAAAGAUGUAUUUGCUGUUUGGCAACCCCCUUCUAUAAUAAAGCACUGGAGCAUUUUAAGGAAUUGUUUGGAAAUUAAUAAGUAAUACUUCUUCUUUUUGUGAAAAAAGGUGGGCUUCAGUUCAUCAUAAUCAUUGCACCCAAAAAAAUAAAUUAAAUCAUAAUAAUCAUGUUUCUUGUCUGUCACUCAAUUUCUUAAUCAACACUCAAACAAUGCCAACUUCAUCAAAAGUAAGUAAAAUAAACAGAAUAAUGUAAAGUUAAAAAAUAGUAUUAAGUUUAGCAAAUGGGGAGAAUAAUAGCUUAAAUAUUGAUCAUCAAGAAGUUGCAAAAAUAUAAAAUAUAAAAAAAAUUGUUGUUAGCCCCCAUUUAAAAAGGAAAUCUCACUGCUGUCUAAUUAAUCAGUUAUGAAGGAGAUUUUCAUUUGGAUCAAAAGAGAUUAUGUUAAUGAUUAGAGUGCUUAAUGAUCUCAGGAUAUGAUAGGUAGCACUCGUUUUAAAUUUGAAUAGGAAUAUCCACUCCCAUGGUGGAUGGUGGCAGUCCAAUCUUCCAAACAAAGUAUAACUUUAUCAACCGCCUGACAUGUGGAGCCCGCAGUAUGCAUGUGUGUAUGUAAAUAUUAUGUUACCCUUUUUACGUUAUAGUAGCAUUAUUUUAACUUUAUUUGAGAGGCAAAAGGGGAUACACAUCACCUAGAGAUAAAUACUACUUCAUCCCUCUCAGAAAAUAAUAAUAAUAAUAAUAAUAAUAAUAAUAAUAAUAAUAAUAAUUUUGUAAGUAGUUUAAAAUAUUAACUAAUGCAUUAAUCAAAAUCAAUUAUUUUUGCAAAUUGACUAGGAAACAAUUAAAUGAGAUUAUUUUUGUACAAUGGAUGGAAUAAAUAAGUGUUACUUGAAACGCAGUACGUUUCGGUACGGAAUACAAAUACGGGAAUGCGGUACGCUACAUAAUUAAAACGCGAUACACUAUAAUAUCUUUCUAUAAUUUUUUAUAGUUAGAAAUUCUCUAAAAAUUUAAAUGUAAUAAACCUAAUUUCUAUAAUUUCUUAUAGUUAGGAAUUCUCUUAGAAUUUAAAUGUAAUAAAUCUAAGUUUUAUAAAAGAUUUUUAGUUGAAUUAAUAAUUUGAUUGUUUUAUAAAUAUUUUAAAUCAAAUGUAAUGUUUGAGCAUCCGGUACUAAUAUUAUAGUUAAACAACAAAAAUAAUUUGGUACGCUAAAUUUAAAAUAUUGACACAUAAGAAUAUCUUGUUUAGGUAUACAAAUACGUUCAUUAGGUCUCUAAAAAUAUAUGGUAAGUCUGGAGUAAAUCAUAAGAAUUAAAGUACAAGAAUUUAAUUUUCCCUUUGAAGGCCUUGAUGGAGAGAGUCCCUUCCUAUAAACAACAAAAGAAUAGAAAAGCAAAAGGAAAAUAAGAGAGGAAAGCUUAGGUUGAACUUAAAGGAGAAUUCCAAAGCUUUCAGUUAAAAAGGUGACUAGUAUUGUUUGGUUAAGAAAAAGGCAAAAUCAGGUUUAGGUAUUAGAUAUGAUAUAUAAAUGGUAGGUGGGUAAGGUUGUAGCUAUAGAAACAUAAACCUAAAAAAAGUUGCACUUAUUUUUCUGAUCAGAUUUUGGGGUUGUCAAUGUCUGGGCAGUGGGGGAAGAAAGUCCCUAACCUAGCCAAUGAUUCCAAGAAAAGAUAGUGGAGUUGGGUACAAUAAUAUGGUUUCUUAACAAUAUUUUACCAGAAUUUAAUCAAGCUAUUUCAAUACAAUGAGAAUGUGAAUAUAGGUGAAUUUAAACAAGUUUCAAAUUUCAAUAUGCAUGAAAAUUAGUACUGUUAAAUAAGUUGUCUUUUUGGUAAAUUUUAAGGCAAAACUUUCUAUACAACAAUAAAUCAUGUAAAUACAGAUUUUUUUUCCUUCUAAUUAUAAAUGAAAUUGGGACAAGUUGAUUGAUGAAGUUGUUGUGAAGAAUUGAUCUAUUAUCAUUGAUGGGUAGUUGGAAAUUACUUUAUGCAAUAUUUAAGGAAAAAGUUUGAUGCUCUGUUCCAUAAUGAUUUCUGCUCAUGACAAAGAAUUAUUACUACAUAAACAACUAGGCAAUAUAAUCUAUUAUUAUCAUGAUUAGAUUAGAAACAUAUGCCUACGUUUGAGCUCAAAUUGCAUAUUUAAUUUUGAAACGGAUGGAUGGAGUAUCAUGAUUAGAUAAAAUAUAAUUCAUCUAAUCAAUUUAAAAGACUAACAUAAAGGUUUGUCAUCAAGCAUUUACAAUCUUGUAAUAUACACUUGUUGACCUACUUUUCCUACACCCCAUGAAAGGAGAAAUGAAGAGACCAGAGCAGGAAUUUGCUAAUUUUAUUAAGUGGUAGGUUGCCAUUAGAAAAUUUGUAGGCAGGUAAGAACUAAGAACUGACUAAUCCCCUGUUUCUAGCAUAGACUUUGGAUAGAACAGAAAAAGAAUCAAAACAACAAUUAAAAACUCAAUCCAAACUAAGGUGUUGUUAGAUUUGAUUAAGUGAUACAUGUCUGAAUCAAGAAUUAGUGAAAUCUGAAUGCUGAAUGACCAAUGAAAUAGUUGAAAGUUAUUGUAUAUAAAAAUAAGACUCAAAAUUCUGACUUAAGAAUUAAGAGGUAUCAAGUCUUAUUCUGGCUUACAAAAUAAAUGAUAAAUUAUGGUUGCUGAUAUUACCAAAACAGAAAUGAUACCGCGAGAACAAAUAUGCAUUUAGUGACACUUUUUGUAGUUAUUUUAAUAAUAAUAAUUAACACUUUAGGCGAUACUUAUUGCUCGGCAACAAUAUUUAUGCAUUGGCAAUAUUAAUCGCCUAAAUUAUAGGUCUGGAUAAAUGAGAUCUUGUACUAAAAUAUUGUUCAAACAAAAUAAAACAUCCAGAUUAUUUUAAUUCAGAUGAUUCGGAAGAGACCUACCUGAAUUUCUGGACAAUAAUUAAAGAGGGUAAUCAAUGCGCAGUUUAUGACCUGAAAAUACUCUUUAGAAAUUCAAAGAAUGCAUGAAGUGGAGGGAGCCUUUCACAAACUGUUUAUAUAUAGCUAUAGCCUAUAGCUAUUCAAUAGAAUAUACCCCACAAGAGAAAGUAUUCAUUCAUCUGUUAUUUCAAUAGUUACCCUUUGAAUUUAAGCAAGUGAAAACAUAAUUGUGACAAUAAGACAGUCAGUACUUUGAACUGCACUAAGGAGACCCUGAUUAUGUAGACUGAUAAUGGGAACACAAGCAUUAUAUGAUUGUGACUGCAAAGAUAUUGCCUGCAAGCUCAGCUCAAACUUAUGUAAAACUUAAGUGCUAAGGAGGAAUGGAAUUGGUGAAGGAAUAAAAUAGAGAAGAGAAUGUAAUGGUGAGUGGAAUUGUUAGAAUAAGAUCACACACACGCACAUGACAGUAAAGAAAUAGUUGCAUUGAGUUUUACAAUAGAGAGUAUAUAUAGUCGCUUUUGGACUGUCAUUGACACUUGACCUUUUUCAAUAACCUCGCUCAUCUUCUUAAACUACCUACUCUUGAAUUUAUCCGAUGUGAGAUUCAUGUGAAAUAUCCCAACAGGAAUGAUUCAUUCCAUUCCUGACUAGAAUGAUUUAUUUCAUACUAUCGCCUAAGGAAUAAAAUUCACAAAUUUGAUAAAAAUGAGAAUGGUUCAUUCCAUUUUUCCAUUCCACGGGAAUGAGUUAUUUCAUUCCCACCUUCAUUCCUUCAAUCCAAACAUAUCAUAAAAGUUAAGUAAAUUAAAACGAAGAUCUUAGUUCUAAGUUCUAACUAGUCUCAAAGGAUACUUGGUGCGUGUUUGGCUUGCAGCUUUUGGAGCGUUUGGAGGCUAAACACACGUGAAAAUAUUGCUUGUUUCACAAAGGCAUUUCCAAAUACAAUUUAUGGAACUCACAAACACAACAAACUCACCAAACCAAAAAUAAUGUGUCGUGUUUGGAGGUCCAGACACACUAAACUAAACAAGCCUGGCAACUGUGAAUUAUUUUUAUUGCAGCAAUGCAGAAAACUCUACUUGUGUUGGGAUUAACUGCGACAACCACGCUUGCUAAUUAGUGUUAAUUACUUUAUUAUCAGUCAUUUUUCAAAAUUUAAAAUAAUGCAACUUAGUUAAAUAUUACUGCCAAGCUCCUCUACGUACCAGGAUAGAAUUCAAUUAGUCAUCCAUGAACUCUCAUCCUCUAACCGGAACGUAGUUCUCAUCCACCUAUACUAACACUCUGUUUCUGAGUUUUGAACAGAAAAGAAAAUAAUAGAAAACUUAAAUUAGAACAGAAAAGAAAAGAAUAGAAAACUUAAAGUUUUCCUUUGGGUUGUUUCUGAGUUUUUAAUGGAAAAGGAUAGAAAAUUUAAAAUUGAGGACAUGAGUUGUAAUUUAAAAUUUAUUAUAUUAAAAGUUGAGGAUAAUAUGAGAAUUAUAAAAAUAUUACUUAUUCUAAUUUCUUUUCCGUCCAAAUCAUGCCAAUUUUGGACGGAAAACUUUGGCAAGAAAAGUGGCCAAGUUUUCUGUCCAUUUCUUUUCUUUUCCGUUUAUUAAAAAACUCAGAAACAUAAGAAUUGGAAAGAAAACUUAAAUUUUCCGUCCAUUUCUUUUCUUUUCUGUCCAUUUUAAAACUCAGAAACAGAGCGUAAGUGUAACUCUUUUUUCUCACUAUAAUUAUUUUAUAGUAGUAGUAUAUAUAAGUAUACAUUGUAUAUAUAUAUAUAUACAAGGUCAAAAAGUUCUCUAAAUAAGUCAUUCCAUUGUCAAACGGGGCUUGUUCAAUAUAUAGUCUGGUUAAGAGAGUGAGGAACUGCACACAUGUGAGUGAGCAAAAUGGACACAAAGUCAAAAACAGAGAAUAUUUUACUCACAAUCUAACUGAGAGGCAAUAGUGGUUUAAAUAAUCUUUGUUAACGCCAGGAUCUUCUCUAACGUCCCAAUCACGUAAGACGUCCUGAUCCUGCACAGUAAACACGAUAAACACCACAAGUUUGACGGCUAUUCCGUCGGGGGAUAGCUCAGGCGUAAGAGUCAGUAUACGUGUUCACAAGAUUAACAAUGGAGGAAUGUAAUGUCUAGUGUAUUGAGAGAGAGAGAGAUAGAUAUUCUCAGUUGUGUGUGUGUAUAUAUGAAUGUAAAACGUACCUGUUUUACAAAGACUUCCUUGCUAUAAUACAAGACUCGGUUCCUUGUGCCACUGACCCUCCUGACCCUACCCACUGCAGAUAGCUUUCCUGUUAAUCCCAUCCCUUCUGUCCACCGCUGACCGACUGUCCAAUCCUCAUUAAUGCCAUGUGAGAUAUCAGUCAGUCAUAUCUUUGUCAUCAUCACCAGUCAAAGAUGUAGAUAUUUAAAUAUCUGAUGGGUCGACUCACUGAUUUGGUCUGAUAUUAAAAGGGCUUAACAAAGAUAAUAAAGUGACUAGGCCCAAUAAUGUCAACACCCAAUAGUAAAGACCCAAUAGACUAACUGAAUAAGUAAGCCCAAUCCAUUCGGCCCAAUAGGAGAAAUAUCACGACCCAACAAUCUUAUUUUAGAAAAAAAUUAACUUCAAUGCAUCAAUUAAUAAUAAAGGGACUGCAUGCAUCACUUACCAAACUUUAAUUGGGAUGAUUAGCCAAAGAUUAAGCUGACAUCAAUGUGGAGCCUUAUCCUGACACCCUUCUCCUAAGAGUUACAGGGGUAUUGAUAGGUGAAGCCAUCAAACCGAACUUGCAUAAGGUUUUAUGAUAACAUCAUGUCUAUUAAAACUUUUCAAACUCCAGCCUGAGGGCCAUGUUUAAAAUUUCCUUACUACAUUCAAGGGAGGUGCAAGGAAUAAACUUUGCACUGUACUUAUGGGCCAAAAUCACCUCAUCCACCAUCUAAACUGUUAGAACAAACUAUACAGAUCGAGACAUAAUCAACGACAGAAAAUAAAGACAAGAACACAAGAUAUUUACGUGGAAAAUUCAGAUCGGGAAAAACCACAGACGAGAGGCAGAACUCACAAGAUAUCAAUCACUAUAUCAAAGUACCAAGAAUACAAGCUAUAAAUCUCUAUCUAUAAGAAACUAUUAACACUGAGAAGGAAAAGAAUGCCGAAACCGUAGUAGUAAUAACAUAACGAGUCGAACCGAAGUGAAUAGAGAGUUACUUGAAUUCAACUCGAAAUAUUAAAUUCAUACUUGAAUUCGAAUUGUAUUUGAAAAAUUCUACUCAAAUUCGACUCGACUCGACUAGAAUAUUUAUUACUCGAAUUCGAUCCGACUCGAAUCGAAUUAUAUUCAAACAAUCAAACUAUUAGUGAACUUCAAAUUCAAGCUCGAAUUCCAAUCUCCACAAAAUAACUAGUUUUAUAAUAAAUAUAAUUAUAAAUUGAAUUUGUUAUUUUACUUAGAAAUGAGAAAAUAUAUUUAUCAUUACACUUUACAAAUAUAAAAUCACAAUUAAAAUUAAAAACAAAACAAAAUAAUAAUAAUUAAUUAUCUUAAUUUGAUUUAAUUUUGUAUAUAUUAAAAGAGAAUGUAUCGAGUAUCUAAUUGAAUCUGUAUCAAUCGAGUAUGUAUCGUAUCAUAAUCGAGAAUUCUAGUAGCUUGAAUAUUAAACAAGUUGACUAUAAACUUGCUCAAAAUCUACUUUUAUUUUUUUUUUCGAACUAUUUUUUAUGCUUAAAUUUGGAUCAUAUUAUUAACGAAUUCGAAUUUCAAUCAUAUUUUUUCGAACCCGAACGGUUUAACUCGUUUACUGCCUUAUAUAUACAGUCGGUCGGGCUAAAAACAUAAUAGACCCCAAAUAACAUAAAAGAUAUCAACCUCAGUCCUCCGCUACCACCACUAAACCUCAUAUUUCUUUCAUUUUGGGUCGCCACAAAAUAUUUAUAGUUGGAUCCCGAGCUAGACUUUGACACAUAAAAUAAAGAGUCUAAGAAAAUUCAGAUAUUGUAGAGAAUAGAGACAAUUCCAAUCAUGAACGGAACAGUUUCAUCAUAAUAUACAACACCUUAGAAUAUUUUUGACAAAUAAAGUAAACUAAAUGAAUGUCUUUAUCUUGAAAGCUCUGCAAGUAAAAUGUUGAGCCAAGAUAACCUCUGAAAUUUUUUUGGGUUAGUUUACCUCUCCAAAAGCAUCACCAGCUCACAAUGUGGAGUAUGAGGGAAAAGAUCAAUUCAUGGUUUUGAUGGGUUGCAAAGGCCCAAAAUUGGGCACAAACUUGGCCCUAUGGUGAGCCAAACCAGCACUUGCCCAUAGUCCACCAUAGAUCCUUUGUUAUUCUUAUUCUGCCACAUUCUCACUUAAAAGUUCAUGACGGUAAUAAUUUAAUUUUUUAUAUACAGACAAAUUUUUCUCAUAUACCAUCAGCCUUUGUGUCCCCAACUCCAGUAAUCUGAUCGGAUGAUCUGACCCGACUUUUCGAAAGUCAACUUUGAUAUCAUAUGAAACAAUUCGAGUCAAAUCCCGAGUUCGGAAACUACGCCUAAAACACAUAAAACACUGUUUUUUACAAAAAAUUCAGUUGGAAUAAAUACUAUACAUUUUUUGAAAGGUAUUACAAAAAAAAAA